rnacentral:lncRNA from 1 species
CCCUCCAAUUACAACUGAUGGAAAUAAGCUUCUCAUGUUUUGACAACUCACAAAUACUACUUUUGUAAUGAGGCACGGGAACAGAAAAGUUGCAUUGUCAAUCAUGAGGUCAUAAAACCAAGCCUCUUUAAUUAACCCUGACUCUGAUCUUGCAUAAUUUAGAUCCUCGAGUGAAGAGAAACAAGGUCGUCCUACAGUAACCUUGCAUGCAAUUAGUGAACAUCUCUGUCCGCGACGGAAAACUCUGAAAUCGUGUAGAUCACGGAAGUUGCAUUCCAAAGUUUCCAAAUGAUAUAAUGUGGAAACUUCAUCUCCUCUAACUGAGAGAACAACUUCAGAUUUCUGAUGAAGCUUGAGGAACUGUAAUUUUGAGAGUUGGGGUAAAAUACCCGACCGUAAAACACGCACCCCACUUCCAUCAAGAUUAAGAUACCUUAGAUCCUCCAGCCGUUCCAUUCCCUCGGGCAAAUCUUCAAGUCCAGUGUAACUGAGAUCCAACUUCUCCAAUGCCUUAAGCUUUGCUAAUGAUGGUACAUAACUCAGCUUUGCACACCAUCCCAGCAACAAUGCAGUUAGACUCGUCAGAUGACAAAUAGAAUCCGGCAACUUCUCUAUAUCUGUGUCGGAAAGAUCAAGAACCUUGAGUCCGAUGAGGUGCUGGAAAAAAGAUUCCUCAACCAAAUCCAAUUUGUAGUUUCUGCAUAACAAUAAUGUUGAGAGACGGGGGCACAUUGGUGAAAAGUCUGUUGGAAUAUUCUCGAUUCUAUUUUCCAUGAGUGAAGCUCUUAACAGUUCCUCUCUCCACAAUCUUACAUCGGGUAAUUCUGUUAGUUGUGCACCUGCUUGAACCAUAGCCCCCCCACUUUCGUUCAAUAUUUUCCAAGCCAUAUCCCAAAUCAAAUCAUGCAUCUUGACAUAUCUGUAAUCUUCAUCGUCCCUGGAACCUUCUAAUAAGCUGGCAUCUUCAAGUUGAUCAAGCAUGGUAUGGCCCCUAUCAAAUCGUGCAUGCCUUCGCCCCAUUUCUUUGACUAUACCCUCGUCAAUCAAAUACUCUAUCAAGUCCUCUCUCAAGAUGAUCUUGCCUUUUGGAAAUAGUGUGAUAUGUAAGAAGAACUCUUGAAGUGCUGAAUCGUUCAACUGAGCAUAGCUAAAUUUCAAUACUCGAAAUACAUUGGCUUCCAUCUCACCUGGUCCAACUUCUAAUCUUCUCAGUUUUAGCAAUGCAUCUCUCCAACGAUAUUCACCAUCCACUCCCUUCAUGCUUCGAGCCAUUGUCAUGAUUCCAAGGGGCAAACAAGCACACUCCUUCACAAUAGACUCUGCGAUCUCAGGAUAAAGUGUACCACCACGCCCUAAUCUGUAUAUGAACAAAUCCCAAGCCUCGCCCUCAGAAAGAGACUCCACUUUGAUUAUCCUUUGGCAAUCCAUUUUUCGACAUAUCUCCGAUGAUCUUGUUGUGAGAAGCAACUUCCACCCGUCUGUUCUAAGAGGUAUUCCCACUUCGUCAGGAAGAAAAUGACCCCACAAAUUAUCAAGAAUUAAAACACCUUUUAUCACACUCAAUGCUGUCCAUAGCUCCCUGGCUCUAAUCAUCACAUCUUUUUCAUUCUGAAGACAUAAACCAAAAGCAUUGGCAAUGAGAUCCUGCAGUGCGUGAACGCUAAAUUCUCGAGAGUCAGUAAUCCAAUAGACAGGGAAAAAUGUCAGGUUUCUCUUGAAGUUGAUCAAGGAUAUGCGUAGCCAAAGUUGUCUUUCCGACCCCCCCCAUCCCGUAAAUGCCAAUGCAUGAGACCUCAUCAUUCAACAACCAAGAGCAGACAUCCUCCUUAUUUCUUUUAAACGCUUGGCCCACCAUCUUCGUUGUCAGAUCAUAUCUUGUAGUCCUAGGACGCUUAUGUACAGGCCUUUUAGAAGAGCUUCCUCUCACAACAAAAGACUGUUCUUUGUCUAGUCUCGGGUUCAUCUGGCAUAAGAACGACAGGAGCUCUAGGUUCCUCGACAAGCUCAGUCUCCCCCCCAAUCAGAAAACCCUUCCGUCCUCGUUCAUCCGAAAGAGGUUGUUCUUCUUGUUCCAUUUCUAAGCCCCGCAAAGCAGUUGACGCUGCAUUAAUUCCCUCGUUAUUGCUUGAACUUGGCACACUCUUAUCUACAGGCAUUUUAGAACAGCUUCCUCUCUCAGUAACAGCCUGCAUCAACUCCCGACUCUCUAUACCACUGCUUAACUCAACAUCCCUCGUCAAUGAAGAUGUGAUGUUAUUCAUAUCCGUUUCAAAUGCUUGAACUGCUGGCUCUAUUCCCAAUCCAGUCUCAGGUGCAUGCUAGGAACCAUGGUCUCCUCAGGAAGCACAAUCUCUUCCCAAUUCAAGCUAUCCAUCCAUGAAAAAUCAUCCAAAAGAGACUGUCCUUGUUGUUGCAUUUCUAAAUCUUGCGCAGGAUCUGAAUCUGCAGUAACUAUUAUAUUAUUGCUUGAACUUGGCAUGCUCCCACGCAUUCUGUCAGGAAGCUUAUCAAACGCUGCUCGUUGAACAUCUGGAGUUACUUUUUCACAAAUUUUAACACCACCACCUCCAACUCUUUCCAGAUGAUAUUUCAUCCUUGUAGUGGAAGUACUUCCAGCCAAUGUCUUCUCACAAAAAAUGCACUUCAAUAAACCACCAUCCACUUUCUCAAAAUAACUCUGAAAUGGAUCACUUCCUCCAGCCAUUUUUUCUUCUGUGUCCCUACAUACAGACAUAACAAAGAACUUUCAGAAUAUUGAAUUAAAAUGGAACUUAAACUAAUUGAAAAAAAGAAGAAGCUAAGUUUAAGAUAAAAAGAAAAUUGAUUACAGGUGUUUCACUGUCUAAACCAAAGUCAAGUUAAACCACUCCAAAGAUCAAAGUGUUCUUUUCUUUUUACUUUCCCAAUAAUUCUACAACUGGUCAUAUCAGUAAUUUAAUAACCAGUAUGUUUCUUUUUGCUUAGAAGAAUCAAACUACAUGAGUUGGAAAAGAAAUGGUAUGAAAAAAGAGCUAAAAUUAAUCAAACUUAAUUACCUGAACAGCAGAAGCAGCAAGAUGUUAUCCAAUGGUCUGAUUAAAUCAGAAAAAAAGAAGAUGGACGGGGAAGAGUAAGUGUGUUGGAGACGAGUGAUAGAGCUUCGGCUUGCGUGGUUGUGGAUAAGGAUAGAUUCAGACAGUCAGAGAAGCAGAUGACAGUGAAAAAAAGUUAAAUUGACUUCUGUCGUUCAUGGAUGUCAUAUGGACAUGUUGUUGGUCUUCCAGGAAGCGGAUCCGGCGAGGGGUGCUCUAGUGAAGGCGUGGGGGUAGGCGGUGGCUGAUGAUAGUCUCCUCGUGUGGUGGACAGCACGCCAGCUUUGCAAACGAUGAGAAAGAGCACGAUCCACCACAAAACCGCAGAAGAGAAAGCAGCAGGCCGAGAGAAGAAAAGGGAGCAGGAGCAGAGUUGACCGAGAGAGAAGUAGAGCUUGUUAGAGCAUCUAUUAAAUAGCCGAAUGGAAAAAACGGGUUUUUAAAUAGUAUAAAUAUAACUUUUUUAAUUAUAUGUAUUUCAAUAAUAAAAAAUUAAUUAUGUUUUAAUAUAUUUUAUGUUAAAUUAAUUUUAAUAUAAUUAUAUAACUAAUUUAGAUAUUUUAUAUAUAAUAUAAUUAUGAUGUUAUUAAUUAUAUAAUUAAUAUGAGUAGUUUAUAAAAGUAAUAUAAAAUUAAUGAAGUAAUAUGAAAGUUAAAAGAUAUAAUUUAAAAUUGAAUUUAAAAUUUAUUUAUAUGAAUAUCUUUAAUUUUAAGUUUUAUAUGUUAUUGUUAAAUAUUUAAUUUCUUAAAAAGUAAAUUCAAAUUCAAACUUUGAAAAAAUGAUCGCCAACAUUUUAAAUUUUAAAAUUUUAAAUUUUGAAAAAAUUACCGCCAACAUUCUAAGAUUUUACAAUUUGAAAAAAUAAUCCAUCUAUAAAUAUUCUCAUAUACCUUAACAUUUUUUCUCGUCAUUUUCUUCUCUCUAAUCUUUGUUAUAUUUCAUUAAAAUUCAUCAUGAAUCAUUCUAAUUUUAAUUUUUAUGAUGCUUUUGAUUUUGAUGAUGACACUCUUGUGUUUGUUUUUCAAGUUGCUACUGUUGUGGUUGCUGAAGAAGAAUCGAAUAAUCAAGGGUGGAGAACAGGGUAUCGUGCCUCUAUUUCUGGUCACAAUAUUGUCAAUCGUAAUAGAAAGGAAGGUGAGUUAAGGUUAUAUAAUGAUAAUUUUGCAGAAAAUCCUAAAUUCACUGAAAGUCAAUUUCGAAGAAGAUUUAGGAUGAGUCGUCGUCUUUUUCUUCGGAUCGCAAAUGCAGUGGAAGCUUACAAUCCAUAUUUCAAACAAAGAACAAAUGCUCUUGGUGUUCUUGGUUUAUCUUGCCUUCAAAAGGUAACUGCAGCUCAUAAAAUACUUGCAUAUGGUAUUCCUGUAGAUCUUAUUGAUGAAUAUCUUCGAAUUGGAGAAACCACUGAAAUAGAAAGUCUUAGAGCUUUCGUCAAAGCAAUCGUAGAAGUUUUUGGUGAUUGGUAUCUAAGGACACCAAACAAGGUCGAUAUUUGUCGAUUAUUAUCAAUUGGAGAGCAACGUGGAUUUCUAGGGAUGUUAGGGAGCAUUGAUUAUAUGCAUUGGAAAUGGAAGAAAUGCCCAAUUGCAUGGCCUAGGAUGUAUACUGGUCAUUGUCGUGAACCAACUAUAAUUCUAGAGGCGAUGGCUUCACAAGAUCUUUGGAUAUGACAUGCCUUUUUUGGAAUCCCUGGAUCAUUAAAUGAUAUUAAUGUUCUUGAUCGGUCACCUAUCUUUGCUGCACUUGCUGAAGGUUGUACUGCUCAUGUCAAUUAUACAAUUAAUGGGCAUGAAUAUACAAUGGGAUACUAUUUAGCACAUGAGAUUUAUCAUAAUUGGUCAACCUUUGUUAAGACAAUCUCAAGACCAUUAGGAGCAAAGAGAAAAUAUUUUACAAGCAAGCAAGAGUCUGCAAGAAAAGAUGUGGAGCGGGCAUUUGAGGUGCUCCAAUCUCGUUUUGCAAUUGUACGUGGACCUGUUCGAUACUGGGAUGAAGAAACACUUGCAUAUAUUAUGAAAGCUUGCAUAAUAAUGCAUAAUAUGAUUAUUGAGGAUGAAGGAGCAAUGAACCUUGGAUUUGACCAUGAACAUGAAGUCAAUUCCUUUAUAUCAAUGUCAUAUGGUGAAAUACCAGAACUACAUGAUUUUUUUCAAACUCAUAAUCGAAUUAGGGAUAGAGCAACUAGCUCUCAACUACAAGAAGAUUUGAUUGAACAUUUAUGGGAACAAUAUGGCAACGAGUAGAAUCUUUAAAUUUGAACUUCUUAUGUUAUCAUAAUUUUCAAGUUUUUUAUGUUUUUUUUUCAUUAUGGUUGUUAUCUUUUAAGUUAAUUAAUCCUACUUAUUAUUGUUAAGUGUUAGAGAAACUUCAAAAAAGUAUUAUGAAUUAAUAUCAAUUUCAUAACAAUAUAUUUAAAAUAACCAGGAAUUUUCUACAUAUUUAAUUAAAAAUACAUUACAUUACAAUAAAUCAAUCAAAGUUAAUUAAAAAUUAAAACCCCUCUUUUGUAUAAUUUCUAACUUUUUAUUUUGAAAAUACGCUGCAGAAAUUAGAUCCAAAUUAGAAAUAUUCAUUUUCAUAAUUUGUUCUUCUUUCUCAAUCCUGUCCAAUUCUUGUUUCUCUUGACUUUGUUGAAUCAUCAUAGCUUGUUACUCUAACAUAAUUUUCCUGUCUUGUUUCUUCUGAUCCUCAAUUUCAACUAGAGUAUCCCUAAAUUGUUUCCUUGUCUACGUUUAAGUCGUUUCUUUGCAACCUUCUGACCGAUUGGUCUAUCUUGAUAAAUCAAUGGUUCACUAUCUUCUCCUAAACUAACAGAAUCAGGGGUAGAUGGAGUUGAUGAAGCCGGACUUGCAUUGACAUGACUUUUUUGUUUCUUGUUUGACCUUUGAUGUUGACUUGCACGCUCAAAUUGCCAUUUGGGCUCUUUUCUUAAGAUAACCCAAUAAUGUUCUAGUUGAAAUUGUUUGUCAAUGCAAGAAACAUACAUUUGCCAAGCAUCAUUAAUCUGGUAAAUAAAUUAAUUAAUUAAAUAAUGUUAAAAUAUGUGUUAAACAAUUUAACAUAGAAAUGAAUAUUAAAAUUACCCUUGAUUCUUCGGUCAUUCCAUUUUGCUGACGAUUUUUAAUUUGAGUAACAAAUCCAAUAAAUUUACCGACUUCUCUAUUUAUUUCUUGCCAUCUACUUGAGAUGCUUAUUUGGGAACGAUUAUUCAAGUUUCCUCCAUUCUCUACAAAGUAAGUAUGUACUCGAGCCCAGACUGUUUUAUUUGUUGUUCAACUCCUGUAAUUGGAUCCUUGCUUGUAUUUAGCCAUGUAGGGACAAGUAAACAAUCUUUCUCUGGUGAGAAAUUUUUACUUCUUUGUGAUUUUUUUAUCGAAUGGAUAUUUAAAUUCGAGUCUGUUAAGUCAUCAAUUAAUUGAUUAGAAUCACUUGGUUGAGAGAGAAUAUCUUCUGACUCACUCAUAAGAAAGUUGGUAAAAGAGCUUAGAAAAUUUGAAUCUAUCUACAUUAAAAAAAAAAUCUCAAGUUAAAACCUUAUAAGAGAGUGUAAAAGAAGCUCACAUUCAAUGUCUAGCAAUUUUGUAGUUUGCAUACAUGUGAAUUAAUAAUAAGCAUUGCCUCCUACAUAUUCUGAUAUAACAAUUUGACUAUUUUUUUGGAACUAAAAGAGAAUUGAUAUACUGGUUUAAUUAUAUUUUCAACAAGACAAAAUAUAAUUGACCUCAAAUUAAAACAGACAAUCAAAAAUAAAUUUUAAAUAUAUCACUCUAUCUUUUUAUCAAUAUCAACUACCAUUAUUAAUUCCUCUCAAUUUUAUCAAAGAUAUCAACAUAAAUAAAAAUUGUCUUUCUUAACCCAUAUUAAAAACAUAAAAUAAUAAAGAAAUAAAAAUCAUCACAAAUAUUAAAUUAACAACAAAAGAUCUAAAAAAUCAAGAGAUAUAAAAGAGAAUAAAAAAAAGCUUUUAAACAAGCAUACCUUUUAAUUUCAGCUAAUUAACACAACUGAUAUUAUUAAUUAACCGGAGAAUAAUUGAUUCUUGUUUUUUUAAAUUUGAGAGAAGGGUGAGGCACAAUACAAAAUUUUAAAAUCUACAAGUUCUUUCCUCCUAUAUUUAAAGAAAAACAAAAAGAGUUGUUGGCCAACGGCCAAGGUUGUCAAAAACGCUUUUUUGACACGACACGGAACAUUCAAUUUAAACUCGACUCGUAAACUCGAAUCGUAAAAUCGGAAGUAAAAAUUUUUAACUAAAAAUCGUAAAAUCGGAAUUAAAAUAUUUUAACUAAAAUCGUAAAAUCGCAAGUAAAAUAUUUUAAACAAUACAAAUAUCCAAACAUAUUAAAAUACAUAAUUCAAAUAAAAGUAAAAUAAACAAUACAAAUAUCCAAACAUCUUAAAAUACAUAAUUCAAAUAAAAAUUCAUACAUGUCCAUAGUAUUUAAAAAGAUUCCAAAGCCAACAACUCCAUGUAUCAAGAUCAAGCUAAAAAUGGCAAUGGAAUGGGUGCACGUUUGCAUGAUUUGGCAGAACAAAUGAAUAAGGAAGCUAAAGGAGACCAAUUGCGUUACUUAAAAAGAUUGUUCAUCACAUUUAACUGAUUGAUAUACUGGCAAAAAAAGCUUAAUGAAAUGCCUCAAUCACUAAAACAAAAACUAGUGUAGUAAUCAUCAACUCAUAGCAUCUAGGUUAUAUCUUGGACAUUAUUCUGACAAGGAAAUAUGAUAAAACAAGUGCAAUGCCAAAGCAUGCAAAUGGUCACACACUCACAGUCUCACACUCUCUAUUCCGAAAAAAAAAAAAAAACAGAAUACACUCAAUACAGUGCAAACCAAAUAUCACUAAAUCAAAGCCUUGCAGGAUGAUAACAUUUGAGAGAUGCAGUCCGCUUUAAAUUGCUAUCCAGUAAUACACAAAAAGCCUAGAUAAAUUAAAUGCAAAAGACAUUCCAAAUAGGUGCAUCAAUUGCCCUAAAGUUUGCAGUUUUUGGAUUUACAGAAUACCUGCAAUCCUGAAAAUUGGAAUGCUUCCUUGCUUCGCUGGAUCGUUGUCUAUGCAGAUUGCAGAAUUAUAGAAUCUGCAACACCAAAGCAAGCAAGAUCAAACAGAGCAUAGGUGAACAUUAAAAGAAAUCUGGCUUUGCUUGUAAUUAAAAUCGCCAGUCAAAGUGCCAAGCUCCAUUUCCUUCCCUUUGAAUGGGAUUUUCUUAUCAAAUCUUUUUUUCUUUUUAAUGGAUUCCAACGUCAUUAAAUGCUUCAUUGAAGUGAAAAAAUGACUAGGGGAAAAAUGCAGAAAUCUACCAUUUACUUCAGCCCAUUUGCACUUAUGGUGACUGUGAUUUCCUCCGUUGGCUUUUAUCCUUUUUCCAUAAGUAAAGUUGCCUAUACAAGUCCUUAAACUGUUUAAUUUGUUGCAAUUGAUUACCAAUCCUUUAAUGUUUGAAAAUUGGUCUAAUUAUGUUAUUUUAGCCUAGAAAAUAGAAUUGGUUGAUGGUAAAUAGCCUGGCAGUGCAGGUAAAAGUUAGCAUAAAUGCUUAUCCAAAGCUCAGUAAACCAUUGUUAGAAUACCCAGAAGCAAACCACUAAUUUUUAGAAUACCCAGAAGAUAAACAAUGAAUUUCACAGCAUACCCAUAUCAUUUUUUUUUAUCUCUAAUCACCACCAUUAGACAGAAAAAAACAAAGCUUGGGAUUGAGAAUCAAUUCUUACCUUCAUCUCACCAAGAACGCUCUGGAUCGGGGGGGAAUGAUUUCUUGAUUUGCUGGGGAAAGGGGAAAGGGAAAAGGGAAAAGGGAAAGGGAGUCAGGAGGGAGACUGGGAGCAGGGAGAGUGUGAGACAGAAAGGGAAUGAUUUCUUGAUUUCUUGAAGUCACUGGUAGGGUGAGGGUGGUCGCCUGGUCGGGUGGGAAUUGGGAAAGAAAAGAGAUUGUGAAUUUGUGAGACAGGGACAAAGUCAAAAUUUUUGCAUUUCUAAUUGCAUUCGGUCAGGUGACAUUUUGGUUAAGUCGUGAAAACGUAACGUUUUUAACGUUUUUGCGAGUUAUUACGGUUUUAUGCGAUUUUGAUGAUUUUCGAUUUUUGUCUUCGUCUUUACACGUUUUAUGGGUUUUAACUCGUAAAAUCGUAUGAUUUUACGAGUUAAAACGCAUUUUUAACAACCAUACCAACGGCUAUAAAAAUAGCCCUUGGCCAACAAUUAUUUGUUUUUGUCAUUUCUACAGGGAAAUAUAGAAAUGGCUAGCCAGUGAACAAAUAGCUAAAAUAGCUAUUUGUUUGGGUGCUGCGUUAGAGUGAAGAAAUGAAAAGGUAAAAGCUAAAAAUACACUUUUUAAUAUUUGACUCAUGCGUUGGAGAUGCUCUUAAAGCAAUUCAAUUAAUAUAAAAUAAAUAAAAACUUGUAUACAAAGGUUAGAAUUUAUUUAUUCAUUUAUUUAUUUUAAAAGUAUAUAUUUUAAUCUAAAUAUAAAGUAAUUAUAUAUAGACUAAAUUAAAAAUAUUUUUUAUUUUUAAUAAAAAAACAAGAUAAAUAUAUAUCUUUUAACAGGCUCUCAAACUCGCGAUGUGACAUCUACAAGUAUUGAGAGUUUAUCAAUUAGAAAACGAAAAUGAGAAAUGGAUUGCAACUUGGUAAAGAAAUCUGUAAUUUGCAAUGAAAAAAAACAAAAGGCAAAAUAAUGGUAUCAUGCUUGAGAUGAUAGCGAGUAAAAUAACAAUUGAUCUCAAUAUAUUUAGUUCAUUCAUGAAAAAUUAAAUUGUAAAUAAUAUAAAUUGAACUCUAAUUGUUAAAAUUCAUAGAAAUAGAAUAAGAAAAUUUUUAUUGAACUCCUAUUAAAAAAAAAUUCACUAAUACAAAUAUCUUUUUUUAUUAUUAUUAUUAUUCUUUUUCUUCUUCUUCUUUUUUUGCUAGAAUGUGAUUAUCAAAUCAUUUGCUCUCUCCUAAAACUUUUGUGAUAACUUUCCUUUCUUUUUUCAAAAUCCCAAGAUUGAAAUAUGAAAAAAAAAAAAAAUAAAGUUUGAUAAUGAAACAUCAAUCUCUAAAACAAUAGGAAUCAAAUAACAAAAAAAUUGAAAUUUUAAAGAUUAAAUUAAAAUUUUUCAUGUCAAAAUCUGAAUGGUGUAUUUCUUUUUUUUCUUCGUUAAAUCUGGUUUUUGUUUCUUUUAAUUUUUGAUUUGGAACCACAAUUAAAUUUCAAAUUUAAAAAAUCAGAAUCAAACUCAAAUUUAAAUAUCCUUAAAACCAAGCAUGCAAGAGAUAAUGUAAAUCAAAAGAAAUACAAACAAAUGAUACCAUGAUAAUAUAAUUCUAAAGGAUAAAAUUAUAAAAAUAAAAAGUUUAAUAAUCAAAAUUAAAAAUAUAUUAUUCUUAUAAACAGAUGAAUCCACAAUAAAAUAAGUAAAAUAAGUAUGCGUAAAUCAUAUUUGUGCUACAAUUAAAGACCCAUAUGUUUUAGUCAAUGACUAGUAGCGGACCCAUACUAUAUCAUAAGGUUAGAUUUUCUUUUUGUGUAAAAAUUAAUGUUGAGGUGUUGCAAAUAUAUUUUUAAGCAUGAAGAAGAAUUCUCAUUUUAGGUUAUAGACUUGACCAUGUCAAAUAGGAUAGUUUAUUUUAAUUAGAUGAUAGAAAAAAUAGAGUAAUGGAAAUAGAUGUACAAAAUUAAAGAAAAAGUCAUGAUAAUAUAGGGAAAAACUUUAGAGGAUGAAGUUGCAAGAAUUAAAAGUCCAAUAACUAAAAUUAAAAAAAUGAUCUGCUCAUAUGUACAAUCAAAUCCACGACGAAAGCAUGAACAUUGUUUGGUGCCAUAGUAAGAGAUCCUAUGUUCAAGCUAUUUCUGUAAUAAUCUCUAACUGUAAUUUGAGUUCGUCAUCCAAUUGUAAGCUACACGUCGUCUGUGAUUGUCAGUUUUCUAUUCAGACAUUCUGUGAAUAGUCAGUCAAAGUGAAAUACAAGAAAACAAAUCCCUCUCUCCUCUCCCCGCUCUGUAAACUCUCCUUUUAGGUAGCCAUGACUGCGGCCACCAAGAAACACCUACCCUCCUCCGCUAAGCCACCCAAGAACCACCACUCUACCCCCAACACCACCACCACAACAACCCCACAACCUAACAUCACUCAAAACCCUAACCCAACCACCAAUCCAUCACCACUAUCUCCCACCCUCAAAGACCAGGUUUUGUCACGCGCCACCCACAUCACGCACCAAGAACUCCUCAAAAGAAGGUCUUACAAGCUAAAACAGCUCUCAAAAUGCUUCAAAGAUCAUUACUGGGCAUUAAUGGAAGAACUCAAGAUUCAGUACAGAGAGACUUUUUUUGUCUUAUUUUUUUAUAUUAAUUUUUUCUCCUUUCAUAUAAUUAUUUUAUUUUCUUUUAAUUUUUACUUUAUUAACAAAUAAAAUGAGAUAUUUUAAAAAUAUUUUAAAAAAUUAGUUUUAUAAUAUUGACAAACAUUUAUUUUUUGCUUUGAAUUAUUUUUUUUUCUUGCUUUAUUUGUUAUAAUAUCAUUAAAUUAAUUAAUUUCAUUAAAUUUAUUAAAGCAAAUUACCUAUAUAUUAUUUUUAAUAUUUUUAUACUAAAAAUAAUUGGUUCAUGUGAAGCGACCCGCCUAACUAUUCUUAUCUGUAAACAUAUCAUGUUAUCACAAACUUAUUUAAAGCUUGACGCAUUGGUCAAUUAUUUUAUAUUUCAGUGUUUUGUGACAUUAACAAUGAAGUUAUUGAUUGAAGCAUUGGUCCACACUCUUAAAUGGCGAAGACUUCCCCCAUGCGCACUCAGGUCAAUGAUGAACAAUUGUAGGUUUUUUGAUCGCCAAACCUUACUUUUGAAGAUGUCAUUGAAAGUGCCGCCCCAUCUUUUAUUUUUUUUGUUUUUUUUAUGGCGUGGGUGGCGCGAUAAUUUAGUAUUUUUAUUUUUAUGUUUUAAAAAUAUUUUUUAAAAAAUUUAAAAACUAAUAUAUUUUUAAAUUAUUUUGAUGCGUGAAUAUUAAAAAUAAUUUAAAAAAUAUAUAUAAUUAAUAUAUAUAUUUUAAUACAAAAAAUUAUUUAAAAAAUAAUCACACGGUACUAAAUAAUCUCUUGAAAUUGUUGGAGUGUCGGGACUGUUCUCAUAUGUUUUUAUAUUUUUUUUUAUUUCAGUUUUUAUUCUAUUAAUUUUAUAAUUUUUUAUUUGAUACUUUUAUUUAAAAUUUUAAUCGCUUUCAAUAAAGCUUGUCGGUGGUAAAACACACUCCGAAGCAAUCUGUGGUUCAACGACAAAAAUAUGAGCUUUCUUUUCUGUUCGUUUCUGUGGUCCACCACCUUUAAUUUCUUUCAUGGCAAGAGUUUUGCCCCCAUGCGCAAUUAGGUCAAUGACGAAGAAUUGUAGGGUUCUUGCUUAUUUCUUCUGGUCCAGAAGCCUGUGCCGUGUAACAAUCUAUGGGUAGAAAUUAAUGGCAAAGGGAAGAGAUGAAAGAAGAAGGUCCAUCAAAAUCCUUCUAUCCUCCCUGCAACUCCUUCAGAAUUCUAGGACUUGUUUAUUUUUGUAUUUUUAAAAUAUUUAAAAAAAAUUAAUUUUUUUUAUUUGUUUAAAAUUAAAACACGUCAAUUACAAGAUAUUAAAUAAUCAAAGAAAACAUCCAAGUUUAACAUCAUAAAAUAAUAAUAAAUUAGUUCAUUGUAUAGAGAACAGUAAAUUUAUCUUAAUAAAAAAUUAAAUGAAAUCAAUCGUAUGAAAGUGAAAUAAAACAAUAAGUGAUGCCUAAUCCUUUGAUCUCCCACCAACAAUCUUUUAGCAAUAUUUUGUUGAAAAAGUGUACCUCUAAUCUUACAGUUUUGUUCUUAGUUUUAUUGUCUUCAUUUGUAUUCUAUCAUAUGAGUUUCCAGACUUGUAGGUAAACAUAAAUGCAUCUAGCAACAAUUUCUCUAAGUUUUUUUAUUGAAUCUAUGAAAAGAAUUUCAAGAAGUUAAUUACGAAUUUAUAUAAACUCUUGUACUAAAACAAUCAAAUUAUAUUAUGAAAUUAAUUUUGUUAUUAAUACUUCAUUGAAUUCAGAAUUUGUGAUCCAAAUGGUUAAUUUGACCAUGGUCUUGGAGAGUUUUUUUAUUUUUUUUUAUCUGAAAGAUAUUCAUCUUCAAAUUUUAUUAGAAAAAAAUAUCACAAAUAAAAAGUAAAUUUUAAAUUUUUACAAAAAUAUUUUUAAAACAUAUAAAUAUACACAGACAGUUAGUAUUGUCAUUGACAUGGUCUUGAUGAUGACUUACCAAAAUAAUUUUCAAUUGUCGAUGCUCCAUAGAGUGUUUAAGGCACAAGCCACUCUCUCCCAGUGAAGCAAUGAUUUUUAGUCCAAGUUAUCAUGUGCGUGCUUGAAAGUUUUUUUGUCCCGUAAUUGCAGCAAAAUUUGAAUUUUGCACCUAAAACGAUCGUUAGCAAAAACAAUCUGUAAUUUUUCUUGCAAAGAUCUGUAAGGUAAUUAUAAGAUUAUCAGCACUGGAUAAAUAGAAAAAUCUUGGAUUUAGAACUAGAAAAAUCUUCUAAAUGAAUAAUAGAAAAGAAAAGAAAAGAGAAGAGAAGAAAGAAAGCUAAGCUUUACAACUGGAAAAAACAUUAUCAGCACUGGAUAAAUAUGAAAUGUUUAAGUUAAGUUGAUGCUGAAAUUCUGAAACGUUUAUUUCUAUCACCCUCCCGAUCACUCCUUAGUCCUUACAUAAAUAGCAUGACGUCAUACCUUUACUAUGAGGUAAAGGUUCCAAAACCAGAAUACAAAACAAUCCCUAGAAAUCAUAAAAUCCUAAUUUCAUCCCUUACUAAGGGGAAAUAGCGAUCGGGAUCCUCGUUAGCUGCGGGCAAUCACGCACAGUAAUUUCUUCGAGAGAAUCGCAAAGAAGUCUUCCAGAAUAAAUGCUAUUCAAAUUUGGUAAUUUCUUCAAUACCAAAACCCUCAAUUUAUCAAAUCUACGAAAAGGAGAGGAAUGCUCAUCACUUCCCAUUAUCUCCUGCAUGUUGUAACAUUCUUCGACUACAAUCACUUCCAAUCGGAGUGUAGACAACAACCAAGGAGGGAGCAGCACCUUCAUCCUAUGACAUUUAUGUAUCACGAUCUCUCUGAGAUUCCAGAAGACUAGCUCUGAAGGUGCUUCAAAAAGGGUUUCUAAGAUUAUCAAACCAUCAAGGUGUAGAAUCUCAAGCCCUUCAAUUUCAUCUGAUGGACAUAAGCUUCUCAUGUUUUGACAUCUCACAAAAACUACUUUUGUAAUGAAGAGCGGGAUCAGACGAUUUGCAUUGUCAAGCUUGAGGUCAUAAAACCAAGCCUCUUUAAUUAACCCUGACUUCGAUCUUGUAUAAUUUAGAUCUUCAAGUGAAGAGAAACAAGGUCGUCCUACAGUAACCUUGCAUGCAAUUUGUGAAAAUCUCCGUCCACGACAGAAAUAUACGAAAUCGUCUAGAUCACGGAAGUUGCAUUCCAAAGUUUCCAAAUCAUAUAAUCUGGAAACUUCGUCUCCACUAACUAAGAGAACAACUCCAAAUCCCUGAAGAAGCUUGAGGAACUGUAAUUUUGAGAGUUGGGGUAAAAUACCCGGCCGUAAAAAACGCACCACACUUUGAUCAAGAUUAAGAUACCUGAGAUCCUUCAGCCCUUCCAUUCCCUCGGGCAAAUCUUCAAGUCCAGUGUAACUGAGAUCCAACUUCUCCAAUGCCUCAAGCUUUGCUAAUGAUGGUACAUAACUCAGCUUUGCACACCAUCCCAGCAACAAUGCAGUGAGUCUCGUCAGAUGAGAAAUAGAAUCCGGCAACUUCUCUAUAUCUGUGUCGGAAAGAUCAAGAACCUUGAGUCCGAUGAGGUGCUGGAAAAAAGAAUCCUCGACCAAAUCCAAUUUGUAGUUUCUGCAUAACAAUAAUGUUGAGAGACGGGGGCACAUUGGUGAAAAGCCUGUUGGAAUAUUCUUGAUUCUAUUUUCCAUGAGUGAAACUCUUAACAGUUCCUUUCUCCACAAUCUUACAUCGGGUAAUUCUGUUAGGUGUGCACCUGCUUGAACCAUAGCCUCCCCACUUUCGUUCAAUAUUGUCCAAGCCAUAUCCCAAAUCAAAUCAUGCAUCUUGACAUAUCUGUAAUUUUCAUCGUCCCUGGAACCUUCUAAUAAGCUGGCAUCUUCAAGUUGAUCAAGCAUGGUAUGGCCCCUAUCAAAUUGUGCAUACCUACUCCCCAUUUCUUUGACUAUACCCUCGUCAAUCAAAUACUCUAUCAAGUCCUCUCUCCAGAUGAUCUUGCCUUUUGGAAAUAGUGUGAUAUGUAAGAAGCACUCUUGAAGUGCUGAAUCGUUCAACUGAGCAUAGCUAAAUUUCAAUACUCGAAAUACAUUGGCUUCCAUCUCACCUGGUCCAACUUCUAAUCUUCUCAGUUUUAGCAAUGCAUCUCUCCAACGAUAUUCAAAAGCAUUGGCUCCCUUCAUGCUUCGAGCCAUUGUCAUGAUUCCAAGGGGCAAACCAGCACACUCCUUCACAAUAGACUGUGCGAUCUCAGGAUAAAGUGUACCACCACGCCCUAAUCUGUCUAUGAACAGAUCCCAAGCCUCACCCUCAGAAAGAGGCUCCACUUUGAUUGUCCUUUGGCAAUCCAUUUUUCGACAUAUCUCCAGUGAUCUCGUUGUGAGAAUCAACUUCCACCCGUCUGUUCUAAGAGGUAUUCCCACUUCGUCAGGAAGAAAAUCACCCCACAAAUUAUCAAGAAUUAAAACACCUUUUAUCACACUCAAUGCUGUCCAUAGCUCCCUGGCUCUAAUCAUCACAUCUUUUCCAUUCUGAAGACAUAAACCAAAAGCAUUGGCAAUGAGAUCCUGCAAUGCGUGAACGCUAAAUUCUCGAGAGUCAGUAAUCCAAUAGACACAGGGAAAAAUGUCAGGUUUCUCUUGAAGGUGAUCAAGGAUAUGUGUAGCCAAAGUUGUCUUUCCGACUCCCCCCAUCCCGUAAAUGCCAAUGCAUGAGACCUCAUCAUUCAACAACCAAGAGCAGACAUCCUUCAUAUUUCUUUUAAACGCUUGGCCCACUAUAUUCGUUGUCAGAUCAUAUCUUGUAGUCCUAGGACGCUUAUGUACAGGCCUUUUAGAAGAGCUUCCUCUCACAACAAAAGACUCUGUUCUUUGUCUAGUCUCGGGUUCAUCUGGCAUAAGAACGACAGGAGCUCUAGGUUCCUCGACAAGCUCAGUCUCCCCCCCAAUCAGAAAACCCUUACGUCCUCGUUCAUCCGAAAGUGGUUGUUCUUCUUGCUCCAUUUCUAAGCCCCGCAAAGCAGUUGAAGCUGCAUCAAUUCCCUCGUUAUUGCUUGAACUUGGCACACUCUUAUCUGCAGGCAUUUUAGAACAGCUUCCUCUCUCAGUAACAGCCUGCAUCCAUUCCUGAAGAGUGAUGUUAUUCGUAUCCGUUUCAAAUGCUUGAACUGCUGGCUCUAUUCCCAAUCCAGUCUCAGGUGCAUCGGGCAUAAGCAUGCUAGGAACCAUGGUCUCCUCAGACAGGAAAAACUCUCCCCCAGUUAUCCCAUCCAUCCAUGAAACAUCAUCCGAACUUGGCAUGCUCCCACGCAUUCUGUCAGGAAGCUUAUCAAACGCUGCUCGUUGAGCAUCUGGAGUUACUUUUUCACAAAUUUUAACACCACGACCUCGAACUUUUGCCAGAUGAUAAUUCAUCCUUGUAGUGGAAGUACUUCCAGCCAAUGUCUUCUCGCAAAACAUGCACUUCAAUAAACCACCAUCUUUCUCAAAACAACUCUGAAAUGGAUCACUUCCUCCAGCCAUUUUUUCUUCUGUGUCCCUACAUACAAACAUAACAAAGAACUUUCAGAAUAUUGAAUUAAAAUGGAACUUAAACUAAUUGAAAAAAAGAAGAAGCUAAGUUUAACAUAAAAAGAAAAAUUGAUUACAGGUGUUUCACUGUCUAAACCAAAGUCAAGUUAAACCACUCCAAAGAUCAAAGUGCUCUUUUAUUUUUACUUUCCCAAUAAUUCUACAACUGGUCAUAUCAGUAAUUUAAUAACCAGUAUGUUUCUUUUUGCUUAGAAGAAUCAAACUACAUGAGUUGGAAAAGAAAUGGUAUGAAAAAAGAGCUAAAAUUAAUCAAACUUAAUUACCUGAACAGCAGAAGCAGCAAGAUGUUAUCCAAUGGUCUGAUUAAAUCAGAAAAAAGAAGAUGGACGGGGAAGAGUAAGUGUGUUGGAGACGAGUGAUAGAGCUUCGGCUUGUGUGGUUGUGGAUAAGGAUAGAUUCAGACAGUCAGAGAAGCAGAUGACAGUGAAAAAAAGUUAAAUGGACUUCUGUCGUUCAUGGAUGUCAUAUGGACAUGUUGUUGGUCUUCCAGGAAGCGGAUCCGGCGAGGGGUGCUCUAGUGAAGGCGUGGGGGUAGGCGGUGGCUGAUGAUAGUCUCCUCGUGUGGUGGACAGCACGCCAGCUUUGCAAACGAUGAGAAAGAGCACGAUCCACCACAAAACAGCAGAAGAGAAAGCAGCAGGCCGAGAGAAGAAAAGGGAGCAGGAGCAGAGUUGACCGAGAGACAGGUAGAGCUUGUUAGAGAUGGAGAAAAUAACUUCUUAAAUAGUGUAAAUAUAAUUUUUUUUAAUUAUAUAUAUUUUAAUGGUAUAAAAAUAUUUAGAAAAGUUAAUUAUAUUUUAAUAUAUUUUAUGUUAAAUUAAUUUUAAUAUAAUUAUAUAACUAGUUUAGAUAUUUUAUAUAUAAUAUAAUUAUGAUGUUAUUAAUUAUAUAAUUAAUAUGAGUAAUUUAUAAAAGUAAUAUAAAAUUAAUGAAGUAAUAUGAAAGUUAAAAGAUAUAAUUUAAAAUUAAAUUUAAAAUUUAUUUAUAUGAAUAUUUUUAAUUUUAAGUUUUAUAUGUAAUUGUUAAAUAUUUAAUUUUUUUAAAAGUAAAUUCAAAUUUAAACUUUGAAAAAAUGACUGCCAACAUUUUAAAUUUUGAAAAAAUUACCGCCAACAUUCUAAGAUUUUACAAUUUAAAAAAAUAAUCCAUCUAUAAAUAUUCUCAUAUGCCUUAACAUUUUUUUUCUCGUCAUUUUCUUCUCUCCAAUCUUUGUUAUAUUUCAUUAAAAUUCAUCAUGAAUCAUUCUAAUUUUAAUUUUUAUGAUGCUUUUGAUUUUAAUAAUGACACUCCUAUGUUUGCUUUUCAAGUUGCUACUGUCGUGGUUGCUGAAGAAGAAUCGAAUAAUCAAGGGCGAAGAACAGGAUAUCGUGGCUCUAUUCAUGCUCACAAUAUUGUCAAUCGUAAUAGAAAGGAAGACAAGUUAAAGUUAUAUAAUGAUUAUUUUGUAGAAAAUCCUAAAUUCACUGAAAGUCAAUUUCGAAGAAGAUUUAGGAUGAGUCGUCGUCUUUUUCUUCGGAUCGCAAAUGUAGUAGAAGCUCAUAAUCCAUAUUUCAAACAAAGGACAUAUGCUCUUGGUGUUCUUGGUUUAUCUUGCCUUCAAAAGAUAACUGCAGCUCACAGAAUACUUGCAUAUAGUAUUCCUGCAGAUCUUACUAAUGAAUAUCUUUGAAUUGGAGAAAUCACUGCGAUAGAAAGUCUUAGAGCUUUCGUCAAAGCAAUCAUAAAAGUUUUUGGUGAUUGGUAUCUAAGGGCACCAAACAAGACCGAUAUUUGUCGAUUAUUAUCAAUUGGAGAGCAGCGUUGAUUUCCAGGGAUGUUAGGGAGCAUUGACUGUAUGCAUUGAAAAUGGAAGAAAUGCCCAAUUGCAUGGCAUGAGAUGUAUACUGGUCAUUAUCGUGAACCAACUAUAAUUCUAGAGGCGGUGGCUUCACAACAUCUUUGGAUAUGGUAUGUCUUUUUUGGAAUGCCUGGAUCAUUAAAUGAUAUUAAUAUUCUUGAUUGGUCAUCUAUCUUUGUUGCACUUGCUGAAGGUCGUACUGCUCCUAUCAAUUAUACAAUUAAUGGGAAUGAAUAUACAAUGGGAUACUAUUUAGCAGAUGAGAUUUAUCUUAAUUGGUCAACCUUUGUUAAGACAAUCCUAAGACCAUUAGGAGCAAAAAAAACAAAUAUUUUGCAAACAAGCAAGAGUCUGCAAGAAAAGAUGUGGAGCGGGCAUUUGGAGUGCUUCAAUCUCGUUUUGCAAUUGUACGUGGACCUGUUCGAUACUGGGAUGAAGAAACGCUUGCAUAUAUUAUGAAACCUUGCAUAAUAAUGCAUAAUAUGAUUAUUGAGGAUGAAGGAGCAAUGAACCUUGGAUUUGACCAUGAACAUGAAGUCAAUUCCUUUAUAUCAGUGUCACAUGGUGAAAUACCAGAACUACAUGAUUUUCAUCAAACUCAUAAUCGAAUUAGGGAUAGAGCAACUAGCUCUCAACUAUAAGAAGAUUUGAUUGAACAUUUGUGGAAACAAUAUGGCAACGAGUAGAAUCUUUAGAUCUGAACUUCUUAUGUUAUCAUAAUUUUCAAGUUUUUUAUGUUUUUUUUUUCAUUAUGGUUGUUAUUUUUUAAGUUAAUUAAUCCUACUUAUUAUUGUUAAGUGUUAGAGGAACUUCAAAAAAAUAUUAUGAAUUAAUAUCAAUUUCAUAACAAUAUAUUUAAAAUAACCAAGAAUUUUCUACAUAUUUAAUUAAAAAUACAUUACAUUACAAUAAAUCAAUCAAAGUUAAUUAAAAAUUAAAACCCCUCUUUUGCAUAAUUUCUAACUUUCUAUUUUGAAAUAUACAUUUUCAUAAUUUGUUCUUCUUUCUCAAUCCUGUCAAAUUCUUGUUUCUCUUGACUUUAUUGAAUCAUCAUGGCUUGUUGCUCUUACAUAAUUUUCCUGUCUUGUUUCUUCUAAUCCUCAAUUUCAACUAGAGUAUCCCUAAAUUGUUGUAAGAGAUUCGUUACAGUUACCUCCCCAACUUUAUCUUUUCCUUGUUUACUUGUACAUCGUUCAUUUGCAGCCUUCUGACCGAUUGGUCUAUCUUGAUAAAUCAAUGGCUCACUAUCUUCUUCUAAACUAACAGAAUCAAUGGUAGAUGGAGUUGAUGAAGUCGGACUUGUAUUGGCAUGACUUUUUUGUUUCUUAUUUGACCUUUGAUGUUGACUUGCACGCUCAAAUUGUUAUUUGGGUUCUUUUCUUAAGAUAACCCAACAAUGUUCUAGUUGAAAUCGUUUGCCAACGCAAGAAUCAUACAUUUGUCGAGCAUCAUUAAUCUGGUAAAAAAAUAAAUAAAUUAAAUAAUAUUAAAAUAUGUGUUAAACAAUUUAACAUAGAAAUGAAUAUUAAAAUUACCCUUGAUUCUUCAGUCUUUCCACUUUGUUGACGAUUUUCAAUUUGAGUAACAAAUCCAACAAAUUUACCGACUUCUCUAUUUAUUUCUUGCCAUCUACUUGAGAUGCUUAUUUAGGAACGAUUAUUCAAGUUUCCUCCAUUCUCUACAAAGUAAGCAUACACACGAGCCCAUAACUGUUUUGUUUGUUGUUCAACUCCUGUAAUUGGAUCCUUGCUUGUAUUUAGUCAUGCAGGGACAAGUAAACAAUAUUUCUCUGGUGAGAAAUUUUUACUUCUUUGUGAUUUUUUUGCUGAAUGGACAUAUAAAUUCAAGUAUGUUAAGUCAUCAAUUAAUUGAUUAGAAUCACUUGGUUGAGAGAGAAUAUCUUCUGACUCACUCAUAAGAAAGUUGGUAAAAGAGCUUGGAAAAUUUGAAUCCAUCUACAUUAAAAAAAAAAAAAAAACUCAAGUUAAAACCUUAUAAGAGGGUGUAAAAAAAGCUCACAUUCAAUGUCUAAUAAUUUUAUAGUUUCCAUAUAUGUGAAUUAAUAAUAAGCAUAGCCUUGUAAUUGUUCUAACAUAACAAUUUGACCAUUUUUUGAAACUAAAAGAGAUUUGAUAUACUGGUUUAAUUGUAUUUUCAACAAGACAAAAUAUAAUUGACCUCAAAUUAAAACAGAUAAUAAAAAAUAAAUUUUAAAUAUGUCACUCUAUCUUUUUAUCAAUAUCAACUACCAUUAUUAAUUCCUCUCAAUUUUAUCAAAGAUAACAACAUAAAUAAAAAUUGUCUUCCUUAACCCAUAUUAAAAACAUAAAAUAAUAAAGAAAUAAAAAUAAUCACAAAUAUUAAAUUAACAACAAAAGGUCUAAAACAUCAAGAGAUAUAAAAGAGAAAAUAGAAAAAGCUUUUAAACAAGCAUACCUUUUAAUUUCAACUAAUUAACACAACCAAUGUUAUUAAUUAACUGGAGAAUAAUUGAUUUUUAUUUUUCUAAAUUUGAGAGAAGGGUGAGGCACAAUACAAAAUUUUAAAAUCUACAAGUUCUUUCCUCCUGCAUUUAAAGAAAAUUCCUCUUGCAUUUAAAGAAAAAAAAAAAGAGCUAUUGGCCAAUGGCUAUAAAAAUAGCUGUUGGCCAACAAUUAUUUGUUUUUGCCAUUUCUACAGGGAAAUAUAGAAAUGACUUGCCAGUGAACAAAUAGCUAAAAUAGCUAUUUGUUUGGGUGCUGGGUUGGAGUGAAGAAAUGAAAAAGUAAAAGCUAAAAGUACACUUUUUAACAUUUGGCUUUUUAUUUGGCUCAUACGUUGGAGAUGCUGUUAAAACAAUUCAAUUAAUAUAAAAUAAAUAAAAACUUCUAUAAGAAGGUUAUAAUUUUUUUAAUUAAUUUAUUUUAAAAGUAUAUAUUUUAAUCUAAAUAUAAAGUAAUUAUAUAUAGACUAAAUUAAAAAUAUUUUUUAUUUUUAAUAAAAAAAAAACAAGAUAAAUAUAUAUCUUUUAACAUGCUCUCAAACUUGCAAUGUGAUAACUACAAGUAUUGAGAGUUUAUCAAUUAGAAAACAAAAGUGAGAAAUGGAUUGCAACUUGGUAAAGAAAUCUGUAAUUUGCAAUGAAAAAAAAACAAAAGGUAAAAUAAUGAUGUCAUGCUUGAGAUAAUAGCGAGUAAAAUAACAAUCGAUCUCAAUAUAUUUAGUUUGUUCAUGAAAAAUUGAAUUGUGAAUAAUAUAAAUAAAACUCUAAUUGUUAAAAUUCAAAGAAAUAGAAUAAGAAAAUUUUUAUUGAACUCCUAUUAAAAAAAUAAAUUCAAUAAUAAAAAUAUCUUUUAUUUUUAUUAUUAUUAUUAUUAUUAUUAUUAUUAUUAUUAUUCUUUUUCUUCUUCUUCUUCUUUUGCUGGAAUGUGAUUAUCAAGUCAUUAGCUCUCUCCUAAAACUUCUGUGAUAACUUUCCUUUUUUUUUUUCAAUAUCCCAAGAUUGAAAUAUGAAAAAAAUAAAUGAAACAUCAAUCUCUAAAACAAUAGCAAUCAAAAAUAUUAAAACUUUAAAGAUUAAAUUAAAAUUUUCCACGUCAAAAUCUGAAUGGUGUAUUUAUUUUUGUUCUUUGUUAAAUUUGGUUUUUGUUUCUUUUAAUUUUUUAUUUUGAACCACAAUUAAAUUUUAAAUUUAAAAAAUCAGAACCAGACUCAAAUUUAAAUUUUCUUAAAACCAAGCAUGCAGAAGAUAAUGUAAAUCAAAAGAAAUACAAACAAAUGAUACCAUGAUAAUAUAACUCUAAAGGAUAAAAUUAUAAAAAUAAAAAGUUUAAUAAUCAAAAUUAAAAAUACAUUGUUCUUAUAAACAGAUGAAUCCACAAUAAAAUGAGUAAAAUGAGUGUACGUAAAUCAUGUUUGUGCUACAAUUAAAGAUUCAUAUGUUUUAGUCAAUGACUAGUUGUGGACCCAUACUAUGUCAUAAGGUUAGAUUUUCUUUUUAUAUAAAAAUUAGUGUUGAGGUGUUGCAAAUAUAUUUUUAAGCAUGAAGAAGAAUUCUCAUUUUAGGUUAUAGACUUGACCAUGUCAAAUAGGAUAGUUUAUUUUAAUUAGAUGAUAGAAAAAAUAGAGUAAUGGAAAUAGAUGUACAAAAUUAAAGAAAAAGUCGUGAUAAUAUAGGGAAAAACUUUAGAGGAUGAAGUUGCAAGAAUUAAAAGUCCAAUGACUAAAAUUAAAAAAAUGAACUGCUCAUAUGUACAAUCAAAUCCACGACGAAAGCAUGAACAUUGUUUGGUGCCAUAGUAAAAGAUCCUUAUGUUCAAGCUAUUUCUGUAAUAAUCUCUAACUGUAAUUUGAGUUCCGUCAUCCAAUUGUAAGCUACACGUCGUCUGUGAUUGUCGGUUUUCUAUUCAGACAUCCUGUGAAUAGUCAGUCAAAGUGAAAUACAAGAAAACAAAUCCCUCUCUCCUCUCCCCGCUCUGUGAACUCUCCUUUUAGGUAGCCAUGACUGCGGCCACCAAGAAACACCUACCCUCCACACUUGAGGGUCCAGCUGCUGUGGUCAACCGUGUGACUUGUUCCGCCCCCAUCCCGGGUUCGACCCUCUAUGUGUACGCCUGUCACCCCCGCGGUGCCUUACAUGUUCACUGGGCUUGCAGGAUGCCCAGUGGGCCCGGGGACUAGUUGUGGUGCGCGCAAACUGGCCCGGACACCCCGGUUAUCAAAAAAAAAAAAAAAAAAGAAACACCUACCCUCCUCCGCUAAGCCACCCAAGAACCACCACUCUACCCCCAACACCACCACCACAACAACCCCACAACCUAACAUAACUCAAAACCCUAACCCAACCACCAAUCCAUCACCACUAUCUCCCACCCUCAAAGACCAGGUUUUGUCACGCGCCACCCAUAUCACGGACCAAGAACUCCUCAAAAGAAGGUCUUACAAGCUAAAACAACUCUCAAAAUGCUUCAAAGAUCAUUACUGGGCAUUAAUGGAAGAACUCAAGAUUCAGUACCGAGAAAAAAUUAACCGAAAAAACCGAACCGAUAGAAAAAACCGAAUAAACCGAUUAAAAAAACCACCCGGUCCGGUUCGGUUCCGGUUUAAGAAGGCUUAAACCGAUUAAACCGGACCGAACCGAACUAGUUUAAUUAAAUCUAAAAAAAUAUAUAAAAAAACAUCCUAAACUUAAUAAUUAAUACCCCCUCCCCCAAAACCUUUCCAGCUACCCCUCCCCUUUUCCCGGCUUUCUCUUCCCCCCACAAAAUAAAACCCAGCACUCUCAAUCCCCACCCACACAACCUUUCCCUCUAAACAUUUCUAAAACGUGUGAUUGGAAUGUCCAUCACAAGUGUAGAAGGAUAUUUGGGUCCCAUAUCCAGGACCGUGAUGAUUGUUAUUACCAAAGCUCUAAUUUUUUUCACUUAAAUAAGAGGACAAGACAGGACAUGACAGGACACGAGGAUAUAACGGUUUUAUCUUAUUUAAUUGAUUUCGGUUUUUCUGGUUUUUAAAGCUAAAAAACCGACCCGAACCGAACAAAACCGGUUCGGUUUGAACCGGUUCUCGGUUCGGUUCGGGUUAUAUUAACAAGGAAUAGAAUUUUCUGGUUCGGUUAAAUUUUCAUGUUAAAACCGGACCGAACCGGACCGUGAACACCCCUAAUCAUAGGAAUAUAAACAUAUACCUUCACUCUUUUUUAGAAGCUAAAAGGUUUAAAAUUAAUUUUUAAAAGUAUCAAUAUUAAAUUACCAUAAAUCAAGAAUAUAAUUCUAGAAAAAUCAAGGAUUAUUUUUAUAUAUAUUAACUUUUCAUUCACCUAUAAUUUGUUUAAAUCAUUUUAAUGAAAACAAGUUUCCAACACCAACACAUAACAACACACCUUUUUUAUUUAAUUUUUUUUAUUUGUUUUUUCAAUUUAGUUUUCAAUUGAUGCCCUCUCUUUUUAUAUAUAAUUGAUUAGUCUAUCUACUUUUUAAAUACUAAUUAAUUUUCUAAAUGAUUUUUUAAAAUUUUAUAAUGCCUCAAAGGGAUUAUUAUAAUUUGUUUUAAAUCUUUUAUCUAUUAAAUUCUUUAUCUCGAUAAGUUAUAUUUUCAUGAUAUAUUUAUAUUAAUGAAAAUCAAAUAUAUUUAGUAUCCAUUAUAAACUUUCAAGAUAAAUAAAUAAAUACUAGAAAAAAAUUAAUCAAGCCUGCAAUGUAACAUUAAUCACCAAUCGAAUUAUAAUCUAUACUAAAAGGCAUUAGUUUUUGAAAUUACUAUGCACUCUUUCACAAUACAUUAUGGAUUGGAGCAAAGAUUUUAUAUAUAUAUUUUCACUUUGGUCUUUGAACUUUUAUUUUGAGUGAUUUGAUAUUUUUUAGCCCAAAUUAGCCCCCAAUUGCACAUUGUUUUAGAAGAGAGGGUUGAAUUGAAAGAUAGGGAAUUGAAGUGAAAAUAUCGGGUAACAUAGGGGGUGGGUUGAAAAUUUUGCUAACACAUUCAUUUUAAGCCCCUAUCGUUUUUAAAUAUUAGGUGACCAACCCCUUGAAUCUUAAGAAAAUAUAUUUUUGUACCUAACUUCAUUUUUCUCUUUUUAGUUCUUUUUUUGUUGGGAGGAGAGGGAUGGAGUCGCCAAAUUCUAGCCUAUAGAGAGAAAAUGACUAUUUGAAAAGAUUACGGCCACCAAAAUGGCUGAUUUUUAUAUCAAAAAGUUUCAUAUGAUGAAGGGGUUUAGGUGUUUUUUUUUAUUAUUAUUUACCUAAAAAACACCUGAAAAAGAUCUGAGCUUUGGUAGAAUUUUUGUUUCAGUUAGAUUUUAGGUUUUGGGGCGGUUUAUUGGGUUUUUGGUGACCAUGGAUUGACUUAAUAACGUCUCUAGGGUUUUUUUCUAGGUAUCUUGGGGUAAAAAAUAGAUUGAAAAUUAAUUUUUGAGUAAAAAAAUAAAGGACCUUAUUUUUCCGGCCACCAUAAUGGCCGAAUUCUAGGUUGCGCAAAUGAUACAUCAUUGUUUUAUAUACUCAAGGCAUUAGAAUUGUUUUUAAAAUAAAGGCUUGCGCAUUAGCUGUUGCUGUAUUAGGUCAGAUAUUGGGCAUGGCUUGAUUCUUUUUUUAUUUUAUUUUUUAUUUUUAGUUUUGUGUGUAUUUUAUCAAAUAAAUUUUGGGUUUAUAUUUUAAUUAGAUUGUGAUUAAUUUUAAAUGAUAUUGAGUGUGUUUAAUUUUUAAAGAGGUAUGUAUGAUUCAUCUGUGAUUUUUUCUUAAUUUUAUAUAUAUUAAAUUUGUUUUUUUAAUAAGAAUUUUUAUAUGUGCAGUCUUACAUUGUUUAUAUAUAUAUAUAUAUAUAAUUAUUAUUCAAAACUUUUUAUGUAUGUGUCAGUUUCUAUUAUAAUUUUAGUUUGAUAGAGGGGUUCAUUAAACAUAAUGAUGUAAAUUACCCAUAUUGCAAUUUUAAUACUCAUUAUUUUUAUUGUAGUUUCUUGAUUUUUGAUUUUUGUGUUGUUUUUCUUGUGAUUUUAACCCUCAUAUUUUUUUUUUCUAUGUAUAGUACUUUCGUUCCUAUAACCUAGGUUAUUGUUUAAAAAGUUAACAGUAAUUGAUUUUUUUUGUUUUAUUUUUUUAUAUUCAUUUUUUUCUUUUUAUAUAAUUAUUCUAUUCUCUUUUAAUUUUUAUUCCAUUAACAAAUAAGAUCAUUGAGAUGUUUUGAAAAUAUUAUGAAUAUAUAGUUUUAUAAUAUUGACAAACAUUCAUCUUUUGCAUUGAAUCAUUGUUUUUUUUUUCUCGCUUUAUUUGUUUGUCAAUAUCAUUAAAUUAACUAAUUUUAUUAAAUUUAUUAAAGCAAAUUACAUUUGGAGUUAUGAGAAAUGGAACUCAAAGAUUUCUCGAAACAGAAGACCAUUGGUCCAUCACUUCUAAGAUAUGUAACUCUCAAUUCUUUCCAAACAUCGAAAGUUGUCGUGAAAUAAAGAAGAAUCAUCAGAAAGAUUCUAAACAGCGGUGUUGAGUGAAUCAUUGUGUGCUGUAAAAGUUUUUUUUUUUUAAGAUCAGACAUUUUGAAGUUUUGAAAAAAUCAAGAAGAUGAUGAAAAAGAAUGUUGAAACCACAAAUAUCUGAUUUAUGAGAAAUGAAGCUAUGAUACCAAGAAAAUUGUUGCGCAAGAAAUGAGAAACGCAGAGGAAAGAAAAGAAAAGUGGAUUCUUGAGAGAAGGAAAGUGUGUUCUGCUCUUCUAGAGAAUUAUAUGCAGAAACUUAGUUUACUCUUCUUUUAUUUCUCUUCUUCUUGUAUUGUCUAUACCAGGGGAUACGAAUGUAUAUAUAUAUAUACGCAUUUGCUAACUCUUAAUUUGUAGCAAAUUCACAGUCUAAAGCCUUCAUCAAACUAAAUUAUCAUAUUUAUAAAGGCCAAAAUCAUGGCCAGUUUUUGUGCACAUGAUCUGUAUAGGAAUUCCAUGUACAAUGCUUGAUAGUCAUAAGAAUAUAAAAUAUCCUUUGCGAGCCAUAUAGCUUGAUAGCCAGCCGGUAGAUCCACGGUUUGCCCUUUCUUGCAAAUGUUUUCAGCAUGCAACUAUUAGGUACUCAACCAUUCAUUUAGAAUUGAUAGUCUAAUGAUUGAUUUUUAAAAUAUUUUUAAUUUGAAAAGAUAUUAAAAUAAUAUAUUUUUUAUUUUUAAAAAUUAUUUUUGACAUCAGCUUAUUACAACGAUUUGAAACCAUUAAAAAAAUUAUUUUGAAGCAAAUAAAAAAUAAAACAAUUAAUUUGAAACAAAUUAAAAUUAUUUUUUUAUUAAUAAAUUAUAUUUUCAUGAUAAAUUUAUAAUAAUAAAAGUCAACUGUGAUAAACUGGCAAGAUAAAUAAAUAAUUGUUUUUUAAAAAAAUUGGUUCGGCCUGCUGCAGUGAUAUCAUCAUAUCCCAUGUCACAUUCUCAUUUAAAGCAACGACAAAAGUUUGAGCUCUUUGUUUUGAUCUGUUCAUUGGUUCUCGAGCCAGACAACAAGGCAUCUCUUUCGUUUGAUAUUUUAUACUGAAAGAGCCGGUCAAUUAUUUUAUAUUUCCUUAGUUUCUUUCAGAGCAAGGCGCCCUCAGGUCAAUGAUGAAGAAUAUUUGUAGGGUUCUUGAUUAUUUCUUCUUGUCGAGAAGCUUGUAGCAAUCUAUCACGGUGUGCUUGUCAAGAAAGAUGUACGUAUUAUAGGGUAGAAGUGGUAAAGAAAAGAGAUGAUAGGAGGAGGAUGAAAGCACAUGAUCUCUCUAGGAAUUCUAUGUACAAUUAAUGCUCGAUAAUCAACUUCUUUUCACGGUUAAAAGAUUAAAGAAUUAAUUUUUAUUAUUAAUAAUUUUUUACUCUUUAUAUAGAGAAUGACUUUAGAUUAAUUUUUUAUUUAUUUAUAAUUUGUUUAAAUUAUAUUAAAGAAAACAAAUUUCCAACGCAAAGCAUAAUAACACACCUUUUCAUUUAUUUUUUCUUACUUUGUUUCUUUAAUUUAGUUUUCAAUUAUAUCUUUUUCUUAAUCUGUUAGUUUAACUAUUUUUAAAUAGUAAAUAAUCUUUUGAAUGAUUUUUUAAAUUUCAUAAUAUCUCAAAUGGAUUAUUGUAAUUUAUUUUAAUUUUUUUUUAUAGCUAGAUAAGUUACAUUUGCAUUAUAUGUUUUUAAUGAUGAAAAUAAAAUGGACUUAGUAACCAUGAUAAACCUUCAAGAUACAUAAAAAAAAAAUCAUCUAUAAAAAAUGAUUACCAAGUUCAUGUAUAUUAUCAAGUUCAAGUAUAUUGGAUCUAGCAUACAUACACAACCUAUAUAUUUAUAAUAAAUAAAUAAAAUAACUUAAUAGUCUUCGCAAUUGAAGUAGGUAGGCUGAAUUGCCUAAAUAUGAUGAAUAAAGGGUUGAAUUUGCAAAAUGAUAUACACAUUUUAAUUUGUUGAUUUGAUACAUCUCAAUCUGUGAAUUGACACUGCAUUAGUAAUUAAGAACUUAGAAGGUGAAUCGACAGAAAAGAAGAAUAAGAACAAGAAGAAGGAGCAUUAGUACUAUUUCCUAUAUUCGAUGGUCCUCGAACCUAAUAUGUUAUUACUGAAAAGAUAAAUUUCUGAACCUAACUCACAACAAUUUCCUUCAUUAUUGCUCAUUAUUAUGUUAUUACUGAAAAGAGUAAAUUUCUGAUCACUCUAUUUCUGAGAUGGCUGCCAACUCUUGGUGAAGACGUCUCGCUGGCAUGCGGCCUGCGCUGGUUCUCUUAGGGACAGAGGAGCUAAAAGGAUCAGGAGGCUGUGUUAAGUUUUCUCCUUCAAGCAUUUGGACAACAGUUUUCAUGGAAGGACGCUCUGCUGGGUUCCACUGGAUGCACCAUAGCCCCACAAUUGCUAGUUUCUUCGCAAUUCUAGCAUCUUCUUCUCCAUCGAUAUGAAACCGCAGGUCUUCUUCCUUUUCUAAGAGAUUUCCGGGAAGUAUAUCUGGUCGCCAUUUUCUGCUGUAGCAUCGACGUUCUUCCUUCCUCCAACCAUUUCCAACACUAACAUCCCAAAGCUGUAAACAUCUGAUUUAUAGGAAACAUUCCCGAAGUUCCUCGAGAACACUUCCGGGGCAAUGUAGCCAACAGUCCCCCUAGCAGUCGUCAUGGAAAUGGCACUUUUAUCCUUGGAACACAAACUUAGCCAUCCCAAAAUCGGCGAUUUUGGGAUUGAAUUCGUUGUCAAGCAGGAUAUUCUGUGGUUUGAUAUCAAAAUGGAGGAUUCUUUGAUCACACCCCUGGUGAAGAUAUUCAAUCCCCUUGGCUAUGCCUAAAGCAACACGAUUCAACCUUUCCCAGCCAAGGAAAUGGUUCCUUGAGUCUGCUGAGGAUAUGAACUUCUGUAAAGAAUCAUUUGGCAAGUACUCAUAAACUAGAGCUCGUCUAAAUCCAUCAGCACAGAAACCGAUCAAGCGAACAACAUUGACAUGGUGGAUUCUUGCCAUUGUUCCCACUUCAUUGAUGAAUUCCUCCCCUUUUCCUAUGGAAUUAUUGAGGAGCUUCACAGCUACAGCAAUUUCAUUGGUUAGCUUUCCUUUGAACGCGGUUCCAUAAGCUCCUUGGCCCAAUUCAUCCCUGAAUUGAUUUGUGAUCCUCUUGAGAUCAGCGUAGGAGUAUCUAGUGGGAUUCAGUGAUCUGUAAUCAUCCAAAAAACAUUUCAACCCUGGCUUGAUAUUCUCUUUGUGUUUUAUCGUUGCUAUAGGCGCGGUAGAGUGCAGUAAUCAGUAUGCAAAAAGGAAGAAUCCUAAAAAUCACACCUGCAUAUCAACAUUCUGAGUCAGGCAACUCGUUUUUUUUUCUUUUUUGGGAAAUAAUGUAAAGUUGAGAUGGAGAUUUGAGCAGACUACAAACCAGCAAUCUGUAGCUUUCCGCCGCACAUCUGUAAAGGAUUGAUACUUUAAUAAUUAGCUUCUGCUCCUUUUCCAAUUGGUAAUUGCGAUAAAAUCAUGAAAGCAACAAAAACGAAAAGAGUUUCUAGUGUUUUGUUAUUUACAUAUUCAAAUGCCAAUUAUUAAUUUGAAAAAAGGAAGAAAGAUAGAAAAGCAUACCUUUAGUGUAGCAUUCAUCUUCAGAAGAUCCACAAGUUGGAUUGGACCAAGACAUAGUAAGAACAUAAUUUUCUUCAAGCAACAUACUAUAUGAAAUUCCAUAAAUGUUGUACAUCUUGGUACAAGAUAACAAAUCAGAGUAACUGAUGGGAAUACGUGAGUCAACGGCAUAAACUUCAUGCUUAAAAGUACUCAGACAUGGGAUUUUAUCCAUGUACCUUUUCUGAUCACUAGAAAGUGAACAAUUGAACAAGGUCCAAUCAUUCAGCCAAUCGUUCAUAAUUUGGAAGUGAGAAGCCCCUAAACUGAACUUUAAACGUUGCCUUGGAAAGCAACCUUGAGGAUCCCUUGCAUAAAUAAUUCGAUGUCUAUAGUCAAUUCUUUCGAUGAGGAGACUCCAUCCAGUUGGCAGAUUAAGCACUGUGCCGUUGUCCUCUGAGCAGGAUAGAUCAAACCCAGGAUAUCCACAGUGGUCUGGUUGUUUUUCCUUGAUCCGGAAAGGAAAUCGGAUGUCAGGGCCACGGUUUCCACAUGAUCCUGUGUAAUUCAAGCUUGCUCCAUGGUCUGCAAGGAAGACAAUGAAAAAGAAGAACAAACACGUAACCAUUUCUGAUGAAUACUUCAUCAUCUCCACACUCCUCUUAAGACUUUAUCUGCAUGUUCUGAUAUAGUUUUGGCCGUUCAGAAAACUCAUGUAGUCCUUAGAUCGGUGAGUCCUUUACACUGUAGUACACGCAUCCUUGCAUCCCUCCCUUCGACAUUAAAAAAAAUAUUCAAAAAGACUGUCUGGUUCAGGUAAUUUUGGUCGGUUUUUAUGAUUAAUUUGCUCAUCCCUAAUGAUAGUAAUAGUCUCUCUAUCUACAUAAUGUGAAUUUUAAUUACAUGGUCGCACCCUUAACGCUUAACGCUUAUGCCAGAAGGGACGGGUGCGAGAUUCUCAACAAGAAAUAAUUAACGCUUAACGAUUAACGCUUUGACAAGUUCUUUAACCUUUCAAUCAGUUGGGAAGGGAGGAAAAGUCUUGCUUUGACAAGUUCUUCAACCUCUCAAUCAGUUGGGAAGGGAGGAAAGGAAAGUAAACGGCUCUCUGUUGUUGUCUUGCUACAUAGCUUUUCUUUUUCAGAUAUCAGUAUUUAAAUACUGAUUUAAGUUCUUUUUCAAACACGCUAUCAGUAUUUAAGUACUGAUUUAAGUUCCUCUUCAAACACGCUAUCAGUUAUUUAAGUACAGUUGGACUUCCAAACUUGAAUAUUUUUGUCAUUAGACUAGAGGUUACAAUUGAAUUGUCACUAUCUUUAUCUUGGAAUAUCUCGUGGAUUUGGUCUUUGAUGAGAUGCUCCAACAAUAAUAUCAAGCUCGCUGGAUUUCGUUGUUUGUUGUAUUGUCACUUCAGCCUUCCCCAUGUUUAGAGGAAUGAACGUCCUUUUUGCUUGCUACAUAGCUUUUCUUUUACAGCUAUCAGUCUUCCAAAAUACGUGCAGAUGUUUUACAGAUGAAACCUUUUCCCUUUUUCAUCAGUAGAGCAAGCAUAUGCACAUGUUAGACAAGAGGCUAUACGACAGCAAGUCUUGACCAAUCACAAUACUGAUGGGAUACCAGGGGCUGUCUUGGCCUCUAAAGGUCUCAUGCUAAUCAAUCCUACUCUCAAUAAAACAACCAAGACCCGAACCACCAAAGAUGGAAGAAAAUGUUCCAAUUGUGGCAACCAUAAACACACACGUGAAAACUGUUUCCAGUUACAUGGAUACCCAGAUUGGUGGCAUGAUCUACAGGGCCGUAAACGUCGUGAUGGAGCUGGUACUACUGGGAGUCCAGGCAAAGCUGCGAUUGUUGCUGCUACUGAGCGUAACCUUUCUCUCAUACAGCCAGUUUCAACAUCUAUUGAGGCCCCUCCCCACUUAAACUCGAGUAAUUCUGGUCUUGCCUUACUUACCAGCCACAGUGAUGCGGCGUGUAAUACAUGGCUCCUCGACUUAGGGGUCAUUGGCCAUAUGACAUUUGAUGCCUCAGAUUUCUCUCAUACAUCCUCCCCACGUCGAACCAGCAUCGCCAAUGCAAAUGGUGGUAUUUCACCAGCCACUAGAGCAGGCUCUGUGACUUUAUCUUCAUCUCUGCAUUUAGCCAACACUUUACUUGUUCCAGCAUUAUCACAUAAACUGAUGUAUGUAGGCCAACUUACUACAGACUUGAGGUGUGUUGUGCUGAUGUAUUCAAACUUCUGUCUUAUUCAGGACAUUCUCACCAAGGAGAUAAUUGGGCGUGGUACUAAGAGGGGGGAACUUUAUUAUGUGGACGACAUCAAUAUCGGCCAGGCACAUCACAUGCACCAUCUGCAUACUGCUAAAGAGAGACAGAUCUGGUUAUGGCAUCGUCGCCUAGGACACCCAUCUUUCCAUUACUUGCAGCAUGUUCUUCCGGAUUUAUUUAUGAGUACUCAGAUUUCUGAUUUGAAGUGUGACACUUAUAUUUUGGCUAAAAGCCACCGUGCUACUUACCCAUUAAGCAUGAAUAAGAGUGACACUCCAUGUGCUUUAAUACACUCGGAUGUGUGGGGACCCUCACCGGUUACAAAUAUGUCCGGCAUUCGUUGGUUUGUUAUUUUUGUGGAUGAUUGUACACGUAUGACUUGGCUCUACUUAAUGAAACAGAAAGAUGAGGUUCUCAAUAUCUUCGAAACAUUCCAUGCGAUGGUUUGUACCUAGUAUGGAGCCACUAUUAAGGUUCUCCGCUCCGACAAUGGUGGUGAAUAUGUAAAUAAGCACCUUAAGACUUAUUUCAAUCAUCAUGGUCUCAUUCAUGAAACUUCAUGCCCACGAACACCCCAACAGAACGAUGUUGUAGAGAGAGAAAAAUAAACACAUUCUUGAGACUGCACGUGCUCUGCUUCUUGGCGCUUAUAUGCCUCAACGAUUCUGGACUGAUGCAGUAUCCACUGCUGUUCAUCUUCUCAACCGAAUGCCUUCUAAGGUGUUAUCAUUUCAGACUCCACUUCAAUCCCUUUCUACUCAUGUGCCACUGCCAAAUGCAUUAAUGCUCCCUCCUCGGGUCUUUGGAUGCGUAGCAUAUGUAUACCUUCACAAGAACCAGCGCUCUAAACUUGAUCCAUGUGCACGUCGGUGUCUAUUUCUGGGCUAUGGUAUACAUCAGAAAGGGUAUCAGUGCUAUGACCCUACUGCAUGCAGACUCUAUGUGACUAUGGAUGUUCAAUUCUUAGAAGCUGACAUGUUAUAUUCCCCUUCGGCAUCUACUUCUCCUCUUUAGAGGGAGACACAUAAUAAAGAUGAAGAGGUGAAUUGGUUCCAACAAGAGAAGCUCAAUGAGUAUUGAUUAGUACUUAAAAGUGCAUAUUUAUCAAGGUUUUAUAUCAUCAUUUUGCACUUAAAGUAUCAAUAACUCCUUAACUAAAGCAUGUUUUAUAAUAACAAGUCUAAUACUAUAAAAUGCCCUAAUAUAUGGUAAAUGUUCAUCUUAAAUGCAGGCCUAUCACAUAAAUCAAAGGAUUGAUUGAUGAAUUCAACUACUGAAAUUUGUGAAGAUAAAGAGAGGGUGAAACUUAGAAAAGAGAUGUUGGUGCAGUCCAAACUGGAACACUGUUCGGUAAUUGGGUCAUAUCUCGAGUUCUAGAUGUCCAAAUGACCUCAAUUUUUACACAGAUUCAGUAAGACAUAGGCCUACAACUUUCAUGUUUUCAUCAAGAUCUAAGAAGGCCGUUUUCAAGUCCAAAUUAUAGCAACAACGGAGAAGUCCGAAUCUGUCCUGCAGCCCGAACACUGUUCAGUGUUUGGCCCAUAUCUGGAGUUCUAGAAGUCCAAAUGACCUCCAUUUUUUUUCUGGAAAGCUGAGUCAAUUUCCUACAACUUUCAUGUUUUCUAGUGGACCCAGUUCGGAUGGUAGCAUUUUUGUUUUAUUCAGACAAGAAGAUAAGGAUUUUCACCAAGUCAAAAGUUGGCCACCCACUCAACAAUUAGUCAUCAAAUCAAUAAUUCCGAAUUUUGGCCUAUAAAAGGAGGCAUUUGCCAUGCAUUUGGGGUUGGUUGUUCAGAUCAAGUUCAUGCUCUUUAUUUCUCUCUUUAUAUUUUUUUUGUAAUUCUUAAGUUUUGCUUUCAUUAAUAUCUUGUUUAUGCUUUUCAUUUCCUUUCCUUUCCUUAGUUAACUUGUAUCUUAUUUAUGUUCUUGUUUUGUUUAUUUAUGUUUCUCUUCUUCAUUAUGUUUAGCUAAGUUUAUUAUGUCAAGGUGAAAAGGUUACACUAAUGGUGUAAGAACAAGUAUGGUGUAAACUCAACAUGGACCUUAAUGUUUAAUAUUAACAUGUCUUAUCUUUUUAUCUUACUAAUUCUUAAUACCUUGCUUGUUAAAUGGUUAAUCUAGAUUUGUGUUGUAUAAUACUUGGUACAACAAAUGCUUGGCACUCUCAUAGCCCAACCGUAUGGUAUUACCUACACCUGGGCUAUGAAAGGAACUUGAUUUGUUGUUAACAUCAGUUAACAUCAUGAAUUCCUGACAAUAUUUAAAAGUUUGGUGUUAUGUAAAUAAGAUAAUUAAUAUGAUCAUGUUAAUAAUUUAUAAUGAGCUAUUAAUGAAAAUCAUCCGAUUGGAACCUCCUCGUGUGUGGUUUCCAAAUUGAGUAAUAAGAGUUUAUACUAUACUUGUUUGAAAUACCAUUGGUGGAUCCUCUAACCUUGACAUUUGUUUUUUAUUGUUUAAUCCUUACAUUAAUCUUCCAUCUCAAAGUUCUCAUUAAUUUCUUCCUCCUCUUCUUUUUAUUAUUAUUACUACUACUACUACUACUACUACUACUACUACUACUACUACUAUUAGUAUUAUUAUUAUUAUUACUAUUAAUAUUAUUACUAUUAUUACUAUUAUUAUUAUUAUUUACAUUUUGUUUAUAUUAUAUAAUAUAUAUCUUUGAUCUUUUCAUAAACUCAGUAUAUAGGCUGGAAACCUGUGACCCGAUCUUUUAGAUCAUUCUCGGUAUAACAAUGCACGUACUGAGUAUUAUUAUUAUUAUUAUUAUUUGUUGUUGUUGGUGUUGUGUUGUUUGUUGUUGUUGUAUUGUUAUUUAUAAUUUAUACAAUUAACCUCUCUGUGGUUCGACCCUAGUCUUGCUGAUUAUUUAUUAUUUCGACACUCCUGCACUUGGAAGAAGACAUCAAUCUUUUGGUCGUGUCAAGUAUAAUUGGAUUAGUCAAGAGAACCUACCACAUAAUGUUGAGCUGCUUCACGAGAGGCCAAAUGAUGACCUUGGUGUUGUCCACUGUGACAAUGAUAUACACUCUAAUGGGCAGAUUGAUACCCAUCCUAGCAUGGAACAUAUAUUGUAUGAGACAUAACCUGCACCCCCCCUCUCUAAAGUGCCAGCCGAAUCAUCUCCUGAGAAUACUCCUAAAGUAAGUACUCCUACAACACCUCUGGAUAUCAAUAAUAUAGAUGUCUCUAUGGGAUAUAUCUUACCUCACAAGUACAAUCGGGGCAAGCCACCUAACAGAUACUCUCCAGAGAUUGAAGACCAAAGGUCAAGGUAUCCAAUUGCCAACUAUGUAUCCACCAAGGGUCUUUCUAAACCCCUUCAGAAAUUUACACAGGACCUUUCCAUAUGUCGGAUUCCUACCAAUGUUAAUUAGGCAUUGACAGAUCUGAAAUGGAGCCAAGCGAUAAAUGAGGAAAUGGAGGCAUUACUAAAGAAUAAUACAUGGACUCUUGUCCCAUUACCUGAAGGAAAACGAACAGUAGGUUGUAGAUGGGUGUUCUCUGUUAAACACAAAGCAUAUGGAUUUGUUGACCGAUAUAAAGCAAGAUUAGUGGCAAAGGGAUACACACAAACAUAUGGUGUGGACUAUCAGGAAACUUUCUCACCUGUUGCCAAGCUGAAUACAGUCAGAGUACUACUAUCACUUGCUGCAAAUCUUGACUGGCCUUUACAUCAACUUGAUGUGAAGAAUGCUUUCCUCCAUGGCGAACUCAAAGAGGAGGUGUAUAUGGAGGUUCCUCCAGGUUAUACAACACCUUCCAAGACUGAAAUGGUGUGCAAAUUGCAACGAGCUUUAUACGGACUAAAGCAGUCACCACGAGCAUGGUUCAGAAGAUUCAGUUUAGCAACGAAGAAAUAUGGCUCCCAACAAAGUAACUCUGACCACACUUUGUUCCUCAAGCACAAGCUGGGAAAGGUAACUGCAUUGAUAGUCUAUGUAGAUGACAUAAUUAUAACAGGAGAUGAUGUAGAAGAAAUGUCUCAGCUUCAAAAAAAGUUAGCAACUGAAUUUGAGAUGAAAAAUCUAGGGGGACUAAAGUAUUUUUUAGGAAUUGAAGUUGCCAGGUCUAAGCAAGGUAUAUUCCUCUAUCAAUGAAAGUACAUAUUAGACUUGCUAACAGAAGUAGGAAUGCUGGAAUGCAGACCUGCAGACACACCCAUUGUUCAGAACCACAGACUUGGAGAAUACCUUGACCAAGUACCAACAAAUAAAGGGAGAUAUCAAAGGUUAGUUGGUAAACUCAUUUACCUCUCUCACACUCGGCCAAAUAUUGCAUAUGUGGUAAGUGUUGUGAGCCAAUUCAUGCACAAUCCAAGCAAAAGUCACAUGGAGGCAGUGACUCGGAUUCUCCAGUACCUGAAGUCAUCUCCAGGCAAGGGGCUUAUGUUCUCAAAACAUGAUAAUCAAUUGAAGGUUGAUGGAUAUAUGGAUGCAGAUUGGGCAGGUAAUAUCACUGAUAGAAAAUCAACCUCAGGGUAUUUUACAUUUGUAGAAGGAAAUCUUGUAACCUGGAGAAGUAAGAAGCAAAAAGUGGUAGCAUUGUCAAGUGCUGAAGCUGAGUUUAGAGGAAUGUCUAAAGGUCUCUGUGAACUCCUUUGGCUGAGAAAGCUACUUGCAGAGAUCGGAUUUGCCCCCGCUUCUAAAAUGGACCUCUUCUGCGAUAAUAAGGCAGCUAUUUCCAUUUCCCACAACCCUGUCUAACAUGACCGUACUAAACAUGUGGAGGUAGACCGUCACUUCAUCAAAGAGAAUCUUGAAGCAAAGAUAAUCCGAUUUCCAUUUGUGAAAUCCAAAGAUCAGUUAGCAGAUAUUCUAACAAAAGCAGUGUCUAACAAGGACUUCUACAACUCACUUGGCAAGUUGUGCAUGCGAGACAUCUAUGCACCAACUUGAGGGGAAGUAUUGGCGUGAGCUGUAAUUGCAACUAAUUAGGAAAUUUGUUAGGCAUUCAAAAUAUGUGAAAAUCCCGUUAAUAAGGGAGAUAAAGAUAGCCUAGGAUUGUACUGAUCUUUCUUUCCUUUUAUUCUCUUUUUUGAUGUACAUAUAAAGAAACAGUAUACAGAAUAAAGACUACAACUUUGAUUGUGAAUAAUUGUCAUCCUGUGCAGUUCAAGCUUGCUCCAUGGCCUGCAAGGAAGACAAUGAAAAAGAAGAACAAACACGUAACCAUUUCUGAUGAAUACUUCAUCAUCUCCACACUCCUCUUAAGACUUUAUCUGCAUGUUCUGAUAUAGUUUUGGCCGUUCAGAAAACUCAUGUAGUCCUUAGAUGGGUGAGUCCUUUACACUGUAGUACACGCAUCCUUGCAUCCUCCCUUUGACAUAAAAAAAAUAUUCAAAAAGACUGUCUGGUUCAGGUAAUUUUGGUCGGUUUUUAUGAUUAAUUUGCUCAUCCCUAAUGAUAGUAAUAGUCUCUCUAUCUACAUAAUGUGAAUUUUAAUUACAUGGUGGCACCCUUAACGCUUAACGCUUAUGCCAGAAGGGACGGGUGCGAGAUUCUCAACAAGAAAUAAUUAACGCUUAGCGAUUAACGCUUUGACAAGUUCUUCAACCUUUCAAUCAGUUGGGAAGGGAGGAAAAGUCUUGCUUUGACAAGUUCUUUAACCUCUCAAUCAGUUGGGAAGGGAGGAAAGGAAAGUAAACGGCUCUCUAUUGUUGUCUUGCUACAUAGCUUUUCUUUUUCAGAUAUCAGUAUUUAAAUACUGAUUUAAGUUCUUUUUCAAACACGCUAUCAGUAUUUAAGUACUGAUUUAAGUUCCUCUUCAAACACGCUAUCAGUUAUUUAAGUACAGUUGGACUUCCAAACUUGAAUAUUUUUGUCAUUAGACUAGAGGUUACAAUUGAAUUGUCACUAUCUUUAUCUUGGAAUAUCUCGUGGAUUUGGUCUUUGAUGAGAUGCUCCAACAAUAAUAUCAAGCUCGCUGGAUUUCGUUUUUUGUGGUAUUGUCACUUCAGCCUUCCCCAUGUUUAGAGGAAUGAACGUCCUUUUUGCUUGCUACAUAGCUUUUCUUUUACAGCUAUUAGUCUUCCAAACUUGCCAUUCUAGCAACUUCACUGCUCAUCAUUGUGCUCCUUCUUCAUGCGGCAAUAUCCAAAACAUUAGCUUCCCUUUCAGACUAAACACUGAUCCACAAAUCUGCGGAAACUAUAAUUAUACUCUGAUUUGCGAGAACAAUAUUUCUACAGUAUUAUAUUUGUAUUCAGGUAAAUACUACGUGCAGGCAAUCGACUACGGUAACUUCACAAUCCGAGUGGUAGAUGCUGGUGUACAAGAUAAUUGCUGCUCCAUCCUGUUGGCAUGAGUUGUCCUCUACGAGAUUAAAGGAGAUUAAAGGAGGAAGAUCAAUAGUAUAGUCAUUAAUUGGAAGCUGACGUUAUUUACGUUAUGGAUUCAUUAGCUAAUUAAGCCCAUUCAUGUAUAGCCAUAAUUGAAAGUUCACGUUAUUUACGUUAUGUAACAAUCUGCUAUAUAUAUCCUCUCAUUCAUGUAAAUAAAGAUUGAAAAAAACAGAACAAUUUCUCUCCAUUUUUUCCUCCAUUCUGUCAUGGUAUCAGAGCAUACCGAUCCUUCUUAAUAUCCCACAGAUUCUUCUUGUCUCCUUCUAUGGCUGAGAUGAACCCCAAAAUGAGGAAUCUCUAUCUUCCCAAACUGAGGAAUCUCUAUCUUCCUCCAUCCUAGCCGAAUAACCACGAGAAUGACUGAAGUUUUGAGUAAAGCUUCAGCCCCAACCAAACUUCUGAUGGCGCUACUGCACCAAUCGGCAUCAAGUUGGACGGUACCAACUAUGCACUUUGGUCCCAGGUGGUCGAAAUGUAUAUCUCGGGCAAGGAUAAACUGGAUAUAUAAAUGGCGACUUAUCUCAACCUCCUCAAACAGAUUCUACUUUUCGACGAUGGCGUAUUGACAACGCAAUUGUUAAAGGGUGGCUGAUAAAUUCCAUGCAUCCUUCUCUUGUCAGUAAUUUCAUCCGCUUCCCUACAGCUAAAUUGGUGUGGGAUGCAAUUGCUACUACAUACUUUGAUGGCAGUGACACCUCCCAGGUGUAUGACCUCCGGCGACGUGUGACACGUCUUAAACAAGCUGGUGGUUCACUGGAAAAGUUCUAUAACGAACUGCAAGGCCUCUGGCGUGAAAUCGAUUUUCAUCGUCCAAACCCGAUGGAAUGCCCAACAGAUAUUCAACAGUACAAUUCUCUUAUCCAAGAAGAUCGAGUAUAUGUAUUCUUGGAUGGUCUUGAUGACCAUUUAGAUCAUAUCAGGUGUGAUGUUUUGCAGAUAAAGCCAUUCCCAACAGUGGAACAAGCCUAUGCACACGUUAGGAGAGAAGCUCUUCGUCAAGCAGUAAUGAUCACAGGCGUUGAUGAUUUACCUGGAGCAGGACUGGCAUCCAAGAGUCUCAAACACAGCUCACAUUCUCUGUCUUUCCAUGGUGGCAAAUCUGUUUCCAACUCUAAAUCCCGAGCCACCUCUGAUGGCACUAAAUGCUCUCACUGUGGGGGGACAAAACAUACUCAAGAGACCUGUUUCAAACUUCAUGGGUAUCCCGAUUGGUGGCAUGAGCUCCAGGCUCGGAAGCGCCGUGAUGGAAAUGGUGGCAACGUAGGACAGGCUGCAGUGGCUACAGCAGAACCGCAUCUAUCCCUUAUUCCAGCUGCUAAGAUUAAUGGUGGUACCACUGGACAAGCUGCAGUGGCUGCAGCAGACCCACACUCAGGUAAUGCUCUACUUGGUUCUAAUCAGGAAGCUGAUUGCAAUGACUGGAUACUUGAUUCUGGAGCAACAGACCACAUGACUUUUGAUGCCAGUGAUUUCUCCCAGCAGUCCCCUCCAAGGCGAACUAGCAUUGCAAAUGCUAAUGGAGACAUUUCUUCGGUAACAGGGGCUGGGACAGUAAUGAUAUCACCAGCCCUAUCAUUGUCACAUACAUUACUUGUGCCUUCUUUAUCUCACAAGCUAUUGUCCGUGAGUCAGAUUACUAAAGCCUUGAAUUGUGUUGUGCUCAUUUACCCUAUGUUUUGUCUUAUUCAGGAUAUUCUCACCAAGGAGAUCAUUGGGCGUGGUACUGAAAGGGGGGGCUUUAUUAUAUGGAAGAUAUCAGUAUUGGACGAGCACAUCACAUGCAUCAUUCAAGCGACCUCAAAACUAAACAAAUUUUGCUCUGGCAUCGUCGGUUAGGCCACCCGUCAUUUGGGUAUCUGCAACAUGUGUUUCCUGAUUUAUUUUCGGGUUUGUCGAAUUUGGAUAUUAAAUGUGAGACAUGCAUUUUAACUAAAAGUCAUCGAGUUACUUAUCCAUUGAGUAUGAAUAAGAGUGAUAUCCCGUUUGCCUUGAUUCACUCUGACGUAUGGGGUCCUUCCCCAAAAUCUACUCUGUCUGGUUUUCGCUGGUUUGUGAUAUUUGUUGAUGACUGUACUCGGAUGACUUGGAUUUAUCUGUUGAAACAUAAAAAUGAGGUUUUUCAUGUAUUUAAAUCAUUUCAUAUAAUGAUUCAGACUCAGUUCGCAGCUAAGCUCCAAACUCUUCGAUCAGAUAAUGGUGGCGAGUAUAUGAAUCAACAGUUUCGUAAUUAUUUCCACCAUUAUGGGCUAAUUCAUGAGACCUCAUGCCCCCAGACUCCGCAACAAAAUGGUGUUGCAGAACGCAAGAAUCGCCACAUUCUUGAAACUGCUCGAGCUCUGUUACUUGGAGCUCAUGUACCUAACCACUACUGGGGUGAUGCUAUUACCACGGCUGUCCAUCUCAUUAAUCGCAUGCCUUCAAAAGUUCUUGGGUUUAAAACUCCGCUACAGGCCUUGUCAACCUAUGUGUCAUUACCCACAAUAUUGAUGCUUCCGCCACGGAUCUUUGGUUGCGUUGCGUAUGUUCACCUCCACAAGAAUCAACGCACGAAACUUGAUCCUUGUGCCAUUCGUUGCCUUUUUUUGGGAUAUGCUACACACCAAAAGGGGUACCGAUGCUACGACCCAGUUACUAGGCACUUAUAUGUGACUAUGGAUGUCUCGUUCCUUGAAUCUGACACUUUCUACUCUCCUGCUGCAUCCAAUUCUUCUCUUCAGGGGAGACACAAGUAGAAGAAAUGAAUUGGUUGACAUUUGACUGGUUCAAAGACACUGAUACAACACUGAAUACGACUCAACCUAUCAUCAAUCAGGAAUCUAAUCCAGAGUUGACAUCUUCGGAAGUUGAAGUAACAUCUCCAGAAACAGUAAUAGUACCCCCCACUCUUCAGUAUCCAGUGACCCAUCUCCUAGAAUAUCAUUGAGGUAAGCUCUCCUAUCCCACCUCACAUUCCUGAUGAUAUGGAUACCUGUGUUGGUUAUGAGUUACCUUUCAGGAAAAUCGAGGAAAACCACCAAACAGAUAUUCCCCAGAACUAGAGGAUCAAAGAUCAAGAUAUCCAAUUGCCAAUUAUGUUUCGACAAAGAAACUGUCUGAACCUCUCAAGAACUUUGUGAAUGAACUCUCCUCACAUCAUAUUCCCACGAGUGUUGACGAAGCUUUGGAUGACUCCAGGUGGAUCCAAGCUAUGAAGGAGGAAAUGGAAGCUUUACUAAAAAAUAAAACAUGGACUCUUGUUUCCCUACCAGAAGGUCAAAAAACAGUGGGAUGCAAGUGGGUAUUCUCCAUCAAGUACAAAGCCGAUGGAUCAGUUGAAAGGUACAAAGCAAGGCUAGUGGCAAAGGGCUAUACGCAAACCUAUGGCAUAAUUAUCAAGAAACAUUCUCACCCGUGGCAAAGUUGAGUACUGUUAGAGUUCUACUAUCUCUCGCAGCAAAUCUUGAUUGGCCAUUACACCAGUUUGAUGUUAAAAACGCGUUUUUACAUGGAGAUCUUGAAGAAGAAAUUUACAUGGAUGUCCCUCCAGGAUAUAUGGCAAACUCUGAGGCUAAGAUCGUGUGCAAACUACAAAGAACUUUAUACGGCCUGAAGCAGUCUCCUAGAGCAUGGUUUGGGCGCUUCAACUCAGCAAUGAGGAAAUAUGGCUUCCAACAAAGCAACUCGGAUCAUACUUUAUUCUUAAAACAUUACCGAGGUAAGGUAACAGCUUUGAUAAUUUAUGUAGAUGAUAUGAUCAUUACAGGAGAUGACUCAGAGGAAAUAGCAAGACUUCAAGAACAAUUGGCCACAGAAUUUGAGAUGAAAAAUCUAGGAGGACUCAAAUAUUUUCUGGGAAUUGAAGUUGCUAGGUCAAAGCACGGCAUAUUCCUUUCCCAACAAAAAUAUAUCCUAGAUUUAUUAUCAGAGGUAGGAUUAUUGGAUUGUAAGCCUGCAGAUACACCGAUAAUUCAAAAUCACAGACUAGGAGAAUACCCAGACCAAGUGCCAACAGAUAAAGGAAGGUAUCAGAGAAUAGUAGGAAAACUAAUUUAUCUCUCUCAUACACGGCCGGACAUCGCUUAUGCAGUAAGUGUGGUAAGCCAAUUCAUGCACUGUCCGAGUGAAGAUCAUAUGAAUGCAGUGAUUCGGAUUCUCAGAUACCUAAAAUUCUCUCCUGGAAAAGGACUUAUGUUUACAAGAAACAAUCACUUACGAGUGGAAGGUUACACAGAUGCUGACUGGGCAGGAAAUAUGUCUGAUAGAAAAUCGACUUCAGGUUAUUUCACGUUUGUUGGAGGAAACCUAGUUACUUGGAGAAGUAAGAAGCAAAAGGUGGUAGCAUUAUCAAGUGCUGAAGCUGAGUUUCGUGGGAUGGCUAAAGGCCUUUGUGAACUUCUCUGGCUUCGAAGACUAUUAACUGAAAUUGGCCUCACUCCUAAAGGAGAAAUGAAUCUAUUUUGUGACAACAAAGCUGCAAUUGAUAUCUCUCACAAUCCAGUCCAGCAUGAUCGGACCAAACAUGUGGAAGUAGACCGACACUUCAUCAAACACAAUCUUGAGGCCAAGAUAAUUCGAUUUCCGUUUGUUAAAUCCGAAGAUCAGUUGGCAGAUAUACUUACAAAAGCUGUAUGUAGCAGAAGCUUCUACAACUCACUUGACAAGUUGGGCAUCCGAGAUAUAUAUGCACCAACUUGAGGGGGAGUGUUGGCAUGAGUUGUCCUCUACGAGAUUAAAAGAUUAAAGGAGGAAGAUCAACAGUAUAGUCAUUAAUUGGAAGCUGACGUUAUUUACGUUAUGGAUUCAUUAGCUAAUUAAGCCCAUUCAUGUAUAGCCAUAAUUGAAAGUUCACGUUAUUUACGUUAUGUAACAAUCUGCUAUAUAUAUCCUCUCAUUCAUGUAAAUAAAGGAUUGAAAAAACAGAACAAAUUUCUCUCCAUUUUUCCUCCAUUCUGUCACAUCCCUCGUUAUUCUUUGGCACCUGAUGACUUCAGUGACGGAGAUCCAUACACAUGGUAUAACUACAAGGAGGUGCCGCGGCCGGGAGUGAGUGAAAGUUUCGUGUACUACUGGGGCCACUGGUUCUUACCUCCACUAUCACUGCCUAUGGUUUUCAUGAGCUGUGAAAAUAUGGUGAAUUCUCCUCUUUAUGUGGACACGGCUCCCUACGGCCUUAACUACGGAUCAGUAAAUUAUUCCAACUCUUCUCUUGUGACUCAUUCGAAUUAUGUGACUCUUGGGGGCAUGACUGCCUCGGAUUUGAUGGAACUGUGCAGCAUAGAGAAAAUAUUUUUGCUUCCAAAGAAGAACUACACAGACAAGUCCUUCGAAGAAAUACACAGUGACCUGGCAUAUGGGUUUGAGCUUUCAUGGUACAACAUCUACUGUGGAAAAUGCAGAAGUGGUUGCUACCUCGACAGGGCAGACCGUCGUCGAUGCAUUAGCAGCUGUAUGUAACACUUGAUGAUUAAGUUGCUUCAGAUUUGAUUCAUAAGACUAUAAAUAACUUGACCAUGGAUAUACAUUAAUUAGUUGUGUGCGCUCUUUUCUAUUUUCUUUCGCAUUUACUCGUUUCUUAACCUAAAGCUUCAACAGAUUAUGAUCAAAGCUAUUGGCAAAUUAUACUCUACAUAAUGACGACAGGUGCGAAUUCUUUUUCUACGUCUCACCAUGUUCGUGUUUUCUUACGUGUUUCUUUAAACUGUUAAAAAUAUUUGAACUACAAGACUUGGACUUCGACUUACAAUAUUCUUAAUAUAUAUUUAUAUUAGUUUAGGAUAAUUCAAGAGACUUAAAAGAUAAAUACAUAUUUAAUAGUUACAUACAUAUAUUUAGGAGACAUCUAGCAGAAUUAAAAAACACUUUGAAUAUAAACUUCAAAAUUAAUUCCAACAUAAACGACGACAUAUUUGUGAAAUAAGGAUUGUUGUUUCUUGAAUAGUAAUUGUAAUUUUGUUCACCAUUUUCUGCAGGUUCCCUCAUCUAUUUAUUUGGUAAGGGAUUCCAUCAUUUCUUUAGUUUCGCAACAAAUUUCUAGUGAAGACAACAAAUAAGAUCACAAAACUUGAUUGUUUUCUGGAAAUUUCCUACACAGUACUACAUAAUGGGCUAAAAGUUGUUUGUGGGACUCCAUGUGUGAUUAUAUUUUUGAUCUAUAAAUGGAGAAGGAGACAUUUAUCAGUAUACGAUACAGUCGAACAAUUCCUACAGAGUCAGAAUAACCUGAUGCCAGUAAGGUAUUCCUACUCAGAUAUCAAGAAGAUUACUAGAGGUUUCAAGGACAAAUUGGGUGAAGGAGGCUUUGGUACAGUUUACAAAGGAAAGCUUCGCAGUGGCGUUUUGCAGCAGUAAAAUUGUUGGGAAAAUCGAAAGCUAAUGGACAGGAUUUCAUAAAUGAAGUUGCUACAAUAGGAAGGAUUCACCAUACUAAUGUGGUGCAGCUAAUUGGUUUUUGCGCUGAAGGAUCAAAGCGAGCUCUUGUAUAUGAUUUCAUGCCUAAUGGAUCUCUUGAUAGACAUUUGUUUUCUCGAGAAGGAUCAAUCUCUUUAAGCUGGUAAAAACUGCAUCAGAUUUCCCUUGGAGUGGCUCGUGGUAUCGACUAUCUUCAUUUAGGUUGUGACAUGCAAAUACUUCAUUUUGAUAUCAAACCUCACAACAUUCUUCUUGACGAAAAUUUAACUCCAAAAGUCUCUGACUUCGGGCUAGCUAGGUUGUACCCAACGAAUGGCAGCAUCACAUCUCUUACUGCAGCAAGGGGCACCAUAGGUUACAUGGCUCCUGAAUUGUUCUACAAAAACAUUGGACGUGUCUCCUAUAAAGCUGAUGUUUAUAGCUUUGGAAUGCUGCUAUUGGAAAUGGCAGGCAAAAGGAAAAAUGUAAACGCGUUGGCAGAAAAUUCAAGUCAAAUCUACUGGCCAUAUUGGGUUCAUGACCAAGUAUCUGAUGGAAAGGCCAUAGAAAUCGGAGACGAUGCCACGGAGGAAGAACGUAAGAUCGUCAAGAAGAUGAUUAUGGUUGGAUUGUGGUGUAUACAAAUGAAACCUAUGGAGCGGCCUACAAUGAAGAAUGUUGUGGAGAUGCUUGAAGGAGAUUUGGAAAACUUGCAAUUGCCUCCUAAGCCUGUCUUCAAUCUAGAUGUGACGCCACCAAACAUUGAAGGAGAGUCAUCAUCGUUGUCAGGUGAUUCUACCGAAGCAACCAGUUUGGUUGAAAAUGCAUACUGAGUGAUAUGAUGUGGAAUGCUCUGCUUACAUGCAGGGAAAAUGAUAGAAUAAUGGUGCUUUCGGACUUGGUUAUGAUGAUUUGGUCUGCAAACAUUAUGAUAAUUUGAAGUCCUUCCUUUUAUCUGAUUUGUGUUUAGCUAAUUUAGAGUUCAAGCUGCGGUUUGUUUCUUCGGUGUGGUCUAUAUAAUAAUCAUACAAAGAUGUUAUGUAUUGUGUUUAACAAUCAGAUUACUGUUACAGAAGUAUGAAGUAUGAAGUAUUAUCCUUAUUCUAUUAUCUAGGCUGACUAGCAGCCCUUUCCCCUGAUCGAGGCUGACUAGCAGCCCAUACCUAUACUAAUAUGAUUUAACUCAAGACUUUUUAAAUUCUCUAGAUUGUCAUCAAUUAGGGUUGUUGAUGGUGGUUGAUUGUUGAACUGCUGAGAAAAAAAAACUAUGAGAGGCUAGGGUAAAUGCUGUAUGUGGCAAGUGGCUAGUGUUGAGAGAGACAAAGAACAUUUAUCUUUACACUAACACUCAUCUCUCCGGAACACAAAAGGGACUUGCCUCUUUAUUUGGAGGACUCUAAAGAACAUUGAGAGAACCCUUAUUUUUACACUACACACAACGUGCAAAACACCUCUUUCAUCUUCUUCAUCUUUUUACCUACUUAUUUAUUUAGAAAUCAAACUAAAAAAACUAACUUGAGCAUUAAUAGAGGAUUUCCAAAAUGAAAUAGUUGGGGACUAGAUAAUUGCCUUGCAUUAUAUUUGAUCAAUUUUUCUAACAUAAAAAAUUAUUUAGACAUUGCUAAUGUUUUUUUUUAAUGGCACUUUAAACUUUGUGAGGUUGACUUGAGAUGACCUGAUCUACUUGACAGGUCUAAAAACAAUCUAGACGGUUAAUAAAAAUAUAAUUUAACUUAAAAUAAAUAUUCAAGAUGAUUUAUUAAGACAUCGACAUAUUAGAUCGAUUUUGAUCAAUUUAAGUUAACUUGUUUAUCUGGUCAUGAAAUCACAAUAAUUUCAUAGAAAGAAAAUCAAAACAAAUUAUGAAGUGUAAGUUCCAACAAACUCAAUGUUAAUUAAUGAAAUUAAAAAAUAAAAUUAAUUAAAAAAAGAAUAAAAAAUUGAAAAAUUCAUCCUCUCAAAAAAAGGAUGAAUUUCAAACAGAUCAAACAGAAUGCGUUUUCUGUCAAGAAGUAUAAAACAUAAUGAAAUUUUAUCUCUACAGUAAUAGAACUUGAUGCAAGAGGAAGGAAAUGACAGGAGUAAAGAAAGAUGGGAGAGCGAAAUGAAGUCUCUUAGCCCCUAUUUAUAUAGGAAGCCAAUGGGUGUGAAAUUAAUUUGAAUUAAUUCGUAACAAUUCAUUGUAUUUGCAGAAUUAAUGAAUUUGAAAAGAUUUAAUGAAACUGAUCAAACAUUAAAGAAAUAAUUUAAUAGAUAUAAUAAAAAUAGUUGUAUCAAUUUUUUAUUCGUCCAUGAUUGAUUUUAAACAUGUUAACAUUCAAGAUAUACAAAGAUGUAAAUAAAUUGAUAGAUCACUAAAUUAAUUAGUACAAGUAGAUUUUGGUUUUAGACAUUUUAUAAUAAAAUAAUAUCAAAUUUAUUUGGCUAAUUAAUUAAUUUAAUGUUUUAAACUAAUCCACUGUUCAUAUAUGUCAUAACCCAAUUUUUUAUUUUUAUUUUUUUUAUUUUUAUCUUUAUAAAUUAAAAAAAAUAAAGUGGAAAAAUUGGAAUGAAUGAAGAAAAAUUAAGGUUUAGAUCAAGACAAUACAAAUGAGAAGUUUUUGAGGAUCAAUCAGGGAGGAAUUGUAAAUUUGAGGUUUAUUUUUGCUUGAAAUUGGAAGAAUCAAUGAAUUUGAGGAUUUAAUUAAGCUUAAAAUUAGUUUAAUUAACAAAAUCAUGAGCUUAAUUGAAGAAAUAUUAAAAAUAGCUGAUUUAGGUCUAAAUUGCAAGAAAUAAAGUUCAAGGACCGUUGUGCAAAAGGCACCGCAAUGCAGGGGUCUACUUAAAAUUUAGCCCAGGGGUCCGUUUAAAACAUGUUAAAACCUCGAGGACUAAAUUGAAAAAGGCCGCCCCAAUCUAGAAACGGCGCUGUUUUUCAAUUCCAUUCAUCGUCUUCUUCCUCUGGAAGCAGAGGAGACCCCCUGCAAAGGAAAAUAUCAAUCGCCGCACACAUGCCAAAUUCAAGACCGCAUUGUCUACCCACGGAACCCAUGGGAUUUGGUUGGUCUCCCUCACCCUCAUAACUCUCCCCUGACGCGAGGAUAAGCACCACCAAUAAUCCAGCAACGGCAGGACUGUUGGUGUUUCCAUUCUACCCAAACACGGAGCCAAUUCACUCUACACAAGAUGACGAUCACAGGGAAUAUAAGGAUAAGAAUCCCUCUCAAGGUCUGACUCUAUAAAAGUGGGAGAGAAGGAAGAACAGGGGAUCGAAAAAGAGAGACGAUACAGAGAUAAAAACCAAAAAAUAAAAUAAAAAGAAUAGAGAGCAGAAGGGAGGAGAGGACUAGGUCUUGAGAAAGCAAAAACAUAAAAGACAAAAAAGAGAAGCCGAGGAAAAGAAAGGGCGUCCGAGGAGUGCUUCAUCCAGCACCUGCAUUUUGCCGCUCAAGGUCGCUGCAAAAACAGGCAAGUCACUUUCAAUUCUCCCCCUCUCUGCAAUUUAAUUACUCUGCUUUUGUAGUAAGCGUGCGCGAACAAUUCAAUAAAAAUUACAAUAGUUGAUUUAGAUUUUUUUUUAAUUUUUUUUUAAUUAAAUUUUUUAAUAUUGAUUUAAUUGAAAAUUAAAUUUUAUGAUUUGUUUUGUUUACUUUUUAUUAAGUUAUCUUUAUCUUAUGACCCGAGAAUUAACUAUAAAUUAAAAGAGGAUGGGAUUUUACUCAUAGUUUUAAGACCCGGCCCGGUCGUCGGCCCGGUCCAAGCCCCGGAUUCCGGGUUUUGACCGGGUCAUUGGGUCUUGACCGGGUCGCCGGGUCAAAAAAAAAAUUUAAUUUUUUUUAAAAAAAAUCAAAACGACGUCGUUUUAGCAAAAAAAACAAAAAAAUAAAAGUCAACGGGUUUGUGCCCGGGUCUUGCCGGGUCAACAAGGUCCCGGGUCGCCCGGGUCUGGCCGGGCCAAUUCCCAAGCGGGUUUUGACCUUCACCAGGACCGGUCCCAUGCCUGGGUCGACCGGGUCCCGGGUCAACCCGUCGGGCCAGUCCGGGUUUUAAAACUAUGGUUUUACUGUACCCCUCCUUACAAAACACUAUUUAUUGGAAUAAUGUUUUGCUUUGCUCUUUUCUUUUUUUUUCCUUUCUUUGAUUGUUUUUUUCAAUCAAUUUUUCUUGUUUAAUUUUUCUUUUAAUAUUAGAUUUUUUUUCUAUUUAGUUAUCACACUCUAAUGACAUGGAUCUCAGGUUUGAUGGGUUAAUCUGGUUUGGCCGGUUAAUUUGGUUUGGCGGGUUAACUUGGUUGGCUUAUAUUUUUUUCUUUUUCUAUUUUAUUUUAAUUUCAUCAUUUCAUAUUGAUUUGAUUGAGAUUUAAAUUUCAUGAAUUGUUUUGUUUACUUCUUAUUAGGUUAUCAUGGUCUUAUAACUCGACAAUAGUGUUAACAAGUUAAUCUGAGUUGACUCGAGGUGUUUUUUGUGUUUUUUAUUUAAUUGAUUUUUUUAAUUUUAUCAUUUAAUAUUAGGUCAAUGGGGAAUUGAGUUUCAUAAUCUGUUUUGAUUUGCUUUCUUAUGAGAAUAUCUUGGUCUCACGAUCAAGAUAACGAGUGUUGAUAUUUUAACCCUAGUUAAAACAAGUUAUUUUUUCUUUUUAUUUUUUUUCCAAGAUGUUAUAUUGGUCUCAUGACCUGGGUCACAUGUCUUUCAACAUUAGACUUGCUUUUUAUUGGGUUGUUCCUGUCUUAUGACCCGAGUCGCAAAUUUGACGGGUUAACCUAAUUGAUUCAUUUUCUCUCUCUCUCUCUUUUAAUUGAUUUUUUUUUCAAUUUCAUCAAUUAAUAUUAUGUUUGAUUGAUAAUUGGACUUCAUGAUUUGUUUCGGUUUAUUUUUUAUUAGGUUAUCUUGGUCUUAUGACCUAAGAAUAAUGCUUAAUAGUUAACUCGAGUUGACUUGGUUUAUUUUUUAUGUUAUUUUUUUAAUUAAUAUUUUUAAAAUUUUCAUUGUUUAAUAUUAGUUUAAUGCGGGUGAUUUAGAAUCGAGCCUUAUAAGUUAUUUUGAUUUUCUCUCUAUGGGGUUAUCCUAGUCUCAAGACCAAAGUCACAGAUUUGACAAGUUAACCUAAGUUAAAUUCAAUUAUUAUUUUUUUAUUUUUUUCUAUAAGGUUAUCUUGGUCCAUUGAACCGAUUUAUGAGUUUGAUGGAUUGACUCAGGUUGUUUUUUAUAAUAUUUUUUAAUUGAUUUUUUAAAUCUCAUCCUUUAUAUAUGAAGUUUGAAUGGAUUGAUUCAGAUUGGGGAUUGAAAUUCAUUUUUUGUUUCGAAUUGUUUUUCAUGGGGUUAUCUUGGUCUUAUGAUCUGGGUUGCAAGUUUGAUUUGUAAACUCAUGUUAUUUUUUAGUUCUUUUUUUAAUUGAUUUUUUUUUUCAAUUUCAUCCUUUAUUAUUGGGUUGAUUGAAAAUUAGGCUUCAUAACUUAUUUUAAUUUGCUUUCUAUAGGCUUAUCAUAGUUUCAUUAUAAACCGGGUCAUGAAUUUGACAUGUUAACCCGAGUUGUCUCAGGUCAAUCCAAUAUGUUGUUGUUUUAAUAUUAGAAAAAAAUAUUAUCUUGAAAUUUUAUUUCGUCAAAUAUUGUUUUCAUGAGUUGUAUGAGUUGUUUUUUGACCAAUAAAAUCAAUCGGGUUAUAUUAGAAAAACCCCACACAAUUUAAUUUUUUUUCAGAAAAAAAUAUUAACAACAGUUGAAUAUUUGUCUUUAUAUUCAAGAAAAAAAUGAUUUUACCCACAGGUUAAAGUUUAUUACUAGUUAUUUUGGGAGGCUCGAAAUUUUGCUAGAUGUGCAGACUAUUUCCUUAAUAUUAAUGAUUGAUCACAAAGAUAACUUAUGUCCAGUCAUGAGCUGCUAAAAUUUGAACUGCCAUGGUUUAUAAUUAUUUUUUUGGAGAUGUGAAAGUAUGAAUCCUGACCAGUUGCAGUGACAAACUACUGUUUGUUGGGAGAAAUGGCAAAUUAGUGCUAGCCAUAUUUACUUGAAUAAUUCUUGAACUUUUCUUGGGCCAUCUAACAUUUUAUUUAUGAUAGAUUUUCUAAAAUUUAUUUAUGCUGCCUUCUGUCUUAAGGAAUUUGACAAGAAAUGAUCGGUAGAAAUUUAUAAAAAUUUUACAUUUUACUUUUUAAAUUUUGAUUUUUGAUUUAAAUAGAUAUUAUUAAACUUGACUGGAUACAUCAACUAGGAAUCUAGUCGUUUUCUUCUAAAACUUGACUUAAAUUAGGUUAAAUAAGAGAUUUUGUAACUCGUGAUCCUAUCAUUUUGAUUAAAAUUUAAUUUGAUUAUUAAAGUUGCUUUUCUUAAAGCAAUGACAUUUUAUUUAAAAAAAAAAAAAUUUAAAUAGUGAACUAAUAUUAUUAUGAAUUCACCGAGUAAACUUUAGUUUAAACUUGAAAAUCUUGAAACAAUUAACUUGAAACUUUGGAUUGAGCCUUUUGAGACCGUGAUCUUGGAUUGGUGGAGUGAUGGGCUUGCCCACAAGUCUUGUGGGUUGAUGGAUAACUUUCAUAAACUUGCAUGUAAAACAAGUUAUUUUUAUCAGAAUUCAGGGUCCUUUUAUUCUUAUGUUAGUAAACAUAGAAAGAGUAAUUUAUAAGAAAGAAAAGAAAAUGAAAAAUAUAGAGAGUUUGUAAAUCGGUGAAGCUGAUGAAUAAACUUGGAUUAUCUAAAUAUUUAAUUAAUAAUUCAAGAUAUUUAUAUACCUCACUUACAUAAUUUCACCUGUGAAGUGUGAUGUAGUAAGAAAGAGUAUCUAAAAAUUCAAGUUGUUUGUUAUUGAAUUUUGUCAUGUUAUUAAUGAAAAAAUUACUCGUUUUAUGGUGCUCUCUAAGUAGGAGAGUUUAUUAAAUUCAUUAGAGCUAAUUACCUGUAUAUUAUAUAUAUUUUUUAUUUUUUAAAAAAAUAUUUAUCUCUACUUAAUAAUUUUUAUUCUAAAAAAACAUAUAUGACAAGUCACCUAACCUAACUAGUCUUAACUAUCAACAUAUCAUCUUAUCCCAUCUCAUGUCACGUAUCAUCUUAUCCUUCACUCUGAUGCAACCUGUGAUCAAUAAUUUAAUAUUUCAGUGCUUUGUGACAUCAACAAUGUCAUGUUACUGAUUGAAACAUUGGUCCACCACCUUUAAUUUCUUUCAUGGCAAGACUUUCCCCCCUAUGCGCAUUUAAAGUAGGUCAGACUACUAUAUGUUAAAUAAUAUUUAUGUAAUUUUAUUUAUUAAAGGUAGAAUAAUUUUUUUAAUUUAAUUAUAAUUUUUUUAGUUUAAUUAAUAUAUAUUUUAUUUAUAUUUAGAUUAGAAUUAUGCACUCAUAAUAUACAGAUUAUUUAAAAUUUUAAUUUUAUUUUUAUAUUUGAUCUUAAUUAUUUCCACUGAAUUGCCUAAAUAUGAUGAAUAAAGGGUUGGAUUUGCAAAAUUAUUUACACAUUUUAAUUUGUUGAUCGCCAUUUUCUACUGUAUCAUCGACGUUCUUCCUUCCUCCAACCAUUUCCAGCACUAACAUACCAAAGCUGUAAACAUGUGAUUUACAGGAAACAUUCCCGAAGUUCCUCGAAAACACUUUUAUCCUUGGAACACGUUUAUUUUUAUAUUGAAUCAUUACUUUUUUCCCGUUUUAUUUAUUGUAAAAAUAAAAAUAUAGUUCCAUAAUAUUUAUAAUUAUUCUAUUCUCAUUGAAUCAUGGUAAAAAUAAUUGGCCCGUGGCGCGACAUCCUAAGUAGUCUUAUCUAUAAACAUAUCAUGUUAUGCCACGUACUCAUUUAAAGCUUGACACAUUGGUCAAUUAUUUUAUACUGAUUGGGACGUUUAAGAGCCGGUCAAUUAUUUUAUAUUUCAGUGUUUUGUGACAUUAACAAUGAAGUUACUGAUUGAAAUAUUAUUUGUAAUUUGUUUUUAUGAUUUAAAAAUAUUUUUAAAAUUUUAAAAUUUAUUUUUUUUACUUCAAAUUAAUAUAUAUUUUAAUAUUUUUAAAUUAUUUUAAUGCACUAAUAUUAAAAAUAAUUUUUAAAAACUAAAAAAAUAUAUAUUAUUUUACUAUAUUUUUAAAUAAAAUAUUUUAAAAAAUAAUUAUAAUCAAACUUUCAAAUAAACUCAUAUAGUUGCUUUCAUGACAAAGACAUUUCACCGUGCCGCACUCAAGUUAAUGAUGAAGAAUUGUAGGGUUCUUGGUAAUUACGCGUCAAUGAGUUGUUUGUGUCCCCAACAUUGGAGGUGCCAUCAUAUUUUAUUUCUUUUUCUUUUUUAAAGAUGUGAGCACGAUAACAUGUGAUUAUUGAAUUGUCGCUGCUGUUUCCUUAUUAUUUUUGAUAUUUUAUUUUUAUUUUUAUUUUUAUUUUUAUAUUUUAUAUCAAGAUUUUAUUUAUUUUCAGUUUUAUUUUUUAAUUAUAAUUUUUUAUAUUUUUUAUUUCAGUUUUUAUUCUAUUAAUUUUAAUUUUUUAUUUGAUACUUUUAUUUAAAAUUUUAAUCGCUUUCAAUAAAGUUUGUCGGUGGUCAGACACACCGACGCAACCUGUGGUUCAACGACAAAAAUAUAUGGUCUUUCUUUUCUGUUUUUUUCCGUGAUCCGCUACCUUUAAUUUCUUUCAUAGCUGAUCUUUCCCCCAUGCUUACUCAGGUCCAUAAAGUUUGGCUUUUCCCUUUUUCGUAAAAAUACAUAUUUCAUCUUAGAAAAAGAUAAAAAAAAAAUAAUAAAGCAUGCAUUUGAGGUAUUUUUUUUUUCUUUUACACUGAUCAUUUUGUAAUUAUCAUGAUAAUGAGGGAUAUUUAUGUAUUUUUACAUUGAAAUUUUAGUUUUUUAAUUAAAAAAAUUGAUGGCAUGUAUACAUGAUGCACCAAUGAGUUGGUGGGGUCUAUACCAUUUGAAUGACGUGUGUGAUAUUUUUUUGUAGCCGAACUUGACGUUCCAACGUCUCUUUAAAAGUGACAUCAAGUUCUACUUUUUAUAGUGUGGCACGUGAUGAUAUAUGGUUGUCGGAUUGUCCUUUUAUUUUUUGUAUUUUAAUUUUAGUUUUAAUUUUUUAAUUUUGUUCUUAUUCUUUAUAUAAUGAUUUUAUUUAUUUUUAAUUUAAUAUUUUAAUUAUAAUUUGUUAUAUGUUUUUUUUUAUUUCAUUUCAAUCUUUUAUUUUUUUUAUUAAAAUAUUUUUUGAUUUCAAUAAAAAUUUUAAGUGGUAAGACACUCCGCAGCAACCUGUGCUUCAACGAUAAAAAAAUAUGAGUUCUUUUUUUCUUUUGUCAUUGGUUCUCGAGCCACAAAACAAAGAAUCUUUUUCCUUAUGGAAGCAUUGGUCCACCACUCUUAAAUUAUUUCACAGCAAGACUUUUCCCGCAUGCACCCUCAGGUCAAAGAUGAAGAAUAUUUGUAGGGUUCUUGGUUAUUCCUUCUUGUCGAGAAGCUUGUGCCUUGUAGCAAUCUUUCACGGUAUUACAAGGAUGAAAGAAGAAGGAUUAAUGCCAACCUAUUCAUCUCGUUGUUGAUCAACAAGGAAGGAACUUGAUAGAAAUAGACCCUUGAUAUUACUAUCCUAUCCAUCAAAAUCCUUCUAUCCUCCCUGCAAUUCCUUCCAAAUUAUGAGUUACAUUGAUUUUCUUCGCAAUUGAAGUAAGUUAGACAGGAUUGCCUAAAUAUGAUGAAUUAAUAAAUGGUUGGAUUUGCAAAAUUAUUUACACAGUUUAAUUUGUUGUUUUGAUACAUCUCAAACAUAUUAGACCGAUAAGUUUACACAUAAUCCAUGAACGUAUCUCACAGGUCACAACAAUUUCCUUCGUUAUUGCUCACUAAUAUUUAUUACUGAAAAGAGUAACUUAACAGUGGUCUCUAGGGUCUUUUCUAGAUGUUUUGGGGCAGUUUAUUGGGGUUUUUUGUGGCCAUAAAUUAACUUUAAGUGAUGCCUAAUCCUUUGAUCUCCCACCAACAAUCUUUUAGCAAUAUUUUGUUGAAAACGUGUACCUCUGAUCUUACAGUUUUGUUCUUAGUUUUAUUGUCUUUAUUUGUAUUCUAUCAUUUGAGUUUUCAGACUAGUAGGUAAACAUAAAUGCUUCUAGCAACAAUUUCUCUAAGUUUUUUUUUUUAUUGAAUCUAUGAAGAGAAUUUCAAGAAUUUAAUUACAAAUUUAUAUAAACUCUUGUAUUAAAACAAUCAAAUUAUAUAAAAUUAAUUUUGUUAUUAAUACUGUGUUGAACUCAGAAUUUGUGAUCUAAAUGGUUAAUUUGACCAUGGUUUUGAAGAGUUUUUUUACCUUUUUUGAUCCAUAAAAUCCAUAUAUCCAUAAAAUCUUCUAAAUGAAUAAAAAAAGAAAAGAAAAGAAAAGAGAAGAGAAGAGAGGAGAAGAAAGAAAGCUAAGCCUUACAACUGGAAGAGACAUUAUCUGCACUGGCGUUGUAGACUGUCGAAAUUCUGAAAUGUUAAUUUCUAUGUAGGAGGUAAAUAGCAUAAAUAAAUAGCAUGACAUCAUACCUUUACUAGGAGGUAAAGGUUCCAAUACCACAAAUAAACAACAAAAGUAUAAACAAAAAGUAAAUUUAAAAUUUUUUAAAAUAUUUUUGAACCAGAAAUACAGACAGUUAGUAUUGCAUUGACAUGGUCUAGAUGAUGACUUGCCAAAAUAAUUUUCAAUUGUCGAUGCUCCAUAGAGUGUUUAAGGCACAAGCCACUCUCUCCCAGUGAAGCAAUGAUUUUUAGUCCAAGUUAUCAUGUGCGUGCUUGAAGUUUUUUUGUCCCGUAAUUGCAGCAAAAUUUGAAUUUUGCACCUAAAACGAUCGAUAGCAAAAACAAUCUGUAAUUUUUCUUGCAAAGAUCUGUAAAGUAAUUAUAAGAUCUGGACUUGGAUUUAGAACUAGAAAAAUCUUCUAAAUGAAUAAUAGAAAAGAAAAGAGAAGAGAAGAGAAGAGAAGAAAGAAAGCUAAGCUUUACAACUGGAAAAAACAUUAUCAGCACUGGAUAAAUAUGAAAUGUUUAAGUUAAGUUGAUGCUGAAAUUCUGAAAUGUUUAUUUCUAUCACUCCUUACAUAAAUUGCGUGACGUCAUACCUUACUAUGAGGUAAAGGUUCCAAUACCAAAAUACAAAACAAUCCCUAGAAAUCAUAAAAUCCUAAUUUCAUCCCCGGAAUAAUAGCAAAGACUAGAAAUCAUGGAACAUGCUCAACUGUGUUCAACAAACUUUCAGGAUCUACUUCAAUUUUCUUAAGAGAACGGGAAAUAGUGAUCGGGAUCCUCGUUAGCUGCGGGCAAUCACCCACAGUAAUUUCUUCGAGAGAAUCGCAAAGAAGUCUUCCAGAAUAAAUGCUAUUCAAAUUUGGUAAUUUCUUCAAUACCAAAACCCUCAAUUUAUCAAAUCUACGAAAAGGAGAGGAAUGCUCAUCACUUCCCAUUAUCUCCUGCAUGUUGUAACAAUCUUCGACUACAAUCACUUCCAAUCGGGCAGUGAGACAACAACCAAGGAGGGAGCAGCACCUUCAUCCUAUGACAUUUAUGUAUCACCAUCUCUCUGAGAUUGAAAAAGACUACUUCUGAAGGGCUUCAAAAAGGUUUCUAAGAUUAUCAAACCAUCAAGGUGUAGAAUCUCAAGCCUCCUCCAAAUACAUAUGAUGGACAUAAGCUUCUCAUGUUUUGACAACUCACAAAAACUACUUUUGUAAUGAAGCACGGGGGCAGAGAUUGCAUUGUCAAUCAUGAGGUCAUAAAACCAAGCCUCUUUAAUUAACCCUGACUUCGAUCUUGUAUAAUUUAGAUCUUCGAGUGAAGAGAAACAAGGUCGUCCUACAGUAACCUUGCAUGCAAUUAGUGAAAAUCUCCGUCCAC